UUUUUUUUUUUUUUUUUUGGUUUUCUCCUUCUCUUUGAGGAUUCAAAAAAUUAUAGGGUCCAAAAUUAGGGUUUGAAAAGUGGGUUGGGAAUUCUGAAAGUAAAAGAGCUUUUUUUUUGAAAAUUUUCUCGUCCAUUCUUUCUAGGAAGCUGGUCAAUCAAUUGGAAGUUCCCGAGUUGACAACAUCAACUGCCGGUGGUGACAGUUUUGCUGAUAGCUCGUCGUCCUAUUUGCUGCCCUUAAAGAGGCAAGCAGACUCUGUUUUUCCCCUUAAUUUGACCGUUCCUCAUCUUUUCUUCUUCGUAGCUGAUAUAGCCAUAAUCGUAAUCUUGUUCUACUGAGAGUAGCUGAUGUAGUCGAAGUCGCAACUUUAUUUUCUGGGAUUAGCUGUUGACGGCCUUGGAGGCCAUAGGUUUAUUUGUUGAAGAUGAUUUCUUUUAACGUGUGUUUGGUGGGAUAGUUUUAGAUUGCUAAUUAAAUCACACUGUGGUAAAAUUACUGUUUUUCCUGAUUUUCCAUCUAUGUUUGAUAGUUUUCUAUGUCAUUGAGGUCUGAAUGUUGUUCCAAGUGAUUAUAUCCAAAUGAUUGUUUUGAACAAUAAUCUUUCGUUCAUGAUCAUUGAUGCCUCCACCCAUUUGAAUAUUAAUUGGAUGUGGUAUUUCGAUUCGUUUCUCAUAAUAUUCUCUAGCCUAUUGUUUAAGAGUAAGUACGCCUGUCAUUUCUCUGCUAGAGUUGUUUAGUUGUUGUCUUUGCUUGGUAUUAAAGUCUUAAAUUUGGACUUUCAUUUUUUCUUUGAGUCCAUUUUUGACAGGAGAUCAGGUUGGAAGGGGUGAAUGUACUGGUUUCUGUAGAAAGACUAGACGUUAAGUGUGUUUGUUUAGGAUAAGUCUUCUUUAAAACAUGGAUUAUUCAAAGAGGUAUGAUGUUCGCGAAUAUUAAAAGACAAUGUUCAGAAGAGAUGGGGAAGUCAAUGGGGUGGAGAGUUAAUUUCCUUGUGUUGGAUUGAUUCAGUUGAGUUUUCAAACAUUUGCAUGCCUUCAAGUGAAUCAUGAUUUGGGGUAAUAAUAAUUGUAUGUUAACGUAUAUAUACAUUCAAGAACAUAUCUUUUAAUAUUCUUGUUAUAUUAUGUUUUUUUUAUUUCAUCCAUAGAAACGUGCAUUGCUCAAUCUUUUAAUACCAUGUUGGUUUCCUUAUUCACGUAAAAUUUCGCUUGUUUUUUUCUUUACACUAUUGAUCAUUGUUAUUCAUAGAAACUGCCACCAGUCCUUUAGUAUUGUUAUUAUAAUACUUUGUGUUUGUUAAGGUAAACAUAUCUAUUUUCCUAUGCAUCUCCCAUAGGAUCCAUUUAGUAGAAACAGAGGUGAAAAUAAAUGUGUUGUUAUCAUAAUGUUUGUGUUAUAUCUGCUAUUCUGUGUCACAGAUAUUUUGGUUGCUUUUGUAGGUUGUUUGUUAGUUAUUGGUUAUCACUAUGCCAUAGUUUUACGUCUGCAUUUGCGUUUUUACUUCGUAUUUGUUUAAUGUUGCUUGUACAAAUGGUUGCUAUGAAUUCUGGUACUUGUGUCGUUUUUUUAGUGUUAUAAUCAUGUGUUUUAAUUUUAUUCAUCCUAUUUUGUCUCUUAUGCAUAUCGACUCAUUUUUAAACUUAGUCAAUUAUGCGAUUCGGAAUGAUUCUAAUUCUUGUCUUUCUUUCUUUACAUGUGAAUCUGUUUUAGAGUCCACGAUGGACUCCUUCCCAUUGCAUUGUCAAGUGGUCCAAUGAGGCUCAUGUCAAAGUGAUCCCAUGGCGUAUAAACAUGUGAAGUCGAACGAAGAAGAAAAGAAUGGGUUAAAAUCCCAUCGUUGAAGCGUUCAAGAGACUUAAAAGUCUUGGUUUCCAUUUUAUUUAUUCUCUUAGUGUUGUUUUCUUUAUUUAUUUAGUUAUUUAUUUUAUUUAUUCAUUUAGGCCUCAAAGCCAAAGUUGUACUUAAUAUAGGUGGAGCGAUACUCGAGCCGAAAGCUUGAAAACUAGAUUAGGACAGGGUCAACGGUUUGGGCUUAAAAGCCUAAAUCAUUACUCCUCCUUUAUCCCUUUUCCCUUUUGCUUAUUUUUUUUACAUGUUUCUUGAGAAUCUAGUUGAUUCCCCUAACUAAGUCGCUAAAAUUUUGAUUUUGCAAAACCUUUUCGUAAUUAACUACUUUUCAACAAAUUAAUCUAUUUUGAAGUCAAUCAAAAGACGUUUUUAAACAGUCCGGAUAACCGCAAGUUAGCUGACAUUUUAGGUGCCUAACACCUUCCUAAAACGUUAAUAAGAACCACUUAUUCAGAAUCUUCAAAACUUGAGCGAUUUAUCUAUUUUGGAUCGUUUAAAGUGUUUAAGGUUUCUUAAUUCAUUUUCAAAAUUAAGUGGCGACUCUCAAAAGCCAAAAUUUUGGUCUAAACACUGGCUAAGAAGUAAAGUUUUAUAAGAUAGUUUUAUUCCACAUGAUAAGAAAGUGUGAUGUAUCGUGUAGUCGAGUUAUUUUAAUUGUUUGAUGAUAAGAUUGAGACCUGUUACAAAAUAUUUAAAAGAUGUAGAACUAAUAUUCAUAGGAUUAUUUCAUACAAAAAUUGAAACAAAAGAUACUUCAAUUAACAAUAAAGUCUUGGAUCAUCUUCUCAAAGAUGAUUAUGGUUGAUAGCUGCAACAAAUAUGUCAUAAACACAUAUUUUUCUUAUUUUAAUUAAAUACUAUUAAUUUUCUAAUACUAUUAAUUUUCUAAUACAUAAAUGACUUAUAGUAAUUAAUUAGGGGUGAUAUAGUGAAAUACGGUGCAACUCUUGAAGCAGCCAUGUCGAAAUCAAUAUUUUAAUUAAAUAUUAUGAAUUUUUUAAUACAUAAAUAAAUAAUAAAAAAAUAUUAUUAAUUAUAAUAUAUAAAUGACUUAUAAUAAUUAAUUAGGGGUAAUAUAGUAAAUAAUGGAGCAAUUAGAGGUAAUAUGGCAAAAUGGCUUAUAAUAAUUAAUUAGGGGUAAUAUAAUAAAAAAAUAUUAUUAAUUCUAAUAUAUAAAUGACUUAUAAUAAUUAAUUAGGGGUAAUAUAGUAAUUCACGGAGCAAUUAGGGGUAAUAUAGUAAUUGAUGAAGCGCUGGUCGAAACCAUAGACAAACAUGUCAUCUAUUUUUUCAAUUAAAUAUUAUUAAUUUUUAAUACAUAAAUGUCAUAUAAUAAUUAAUUAAGGAUGAUAUAAUAAAAUCACAGUUAAAGCAGCUGAAACAAAUGUCAUAAAUAUCUAUUUUUUUUAAUUACAUUUUUUUAAUUCUAAUAUAUAAAUGACUUAUAAUAAUUAAUUAGGGGUAAUAUAAUAAAAAAUAGUAUUAAUUCUAAUAUAUCAAUGACUUAUAAUAAUUAAUUAGGGGUAACAUAGUAAAUCACGAAGCAGUCAGAGAUAAUAUAGUAAAUGACGAAGCAGCUGGUUUUUUAAUUAAAUAUUAUUAAUUUUUAAUACAUAAAUGACUUAUAAUAAUUAUUUAGGAAUGAUAUAGUAAAAUCACGGUUAAAACAGCUGAAACAAACAUCAUAAAUAUCUAUUUUUUAAUUAAAUAUUAUUAAUUCUAAUAUAUAAAUGACUUAUAAUAAUUAAUUAGGGAUGAUAUAGUAAAAUCACGAUUAAAACAGCUGAAACAAACAUCAUAAAUAUCUAUUUUUUAAUUAAAUAUUAUUAAUUAUAAUAUAUAAAUGACUUAUAAUAAUUAAUUAGGGAUGAUAUAGUAAAAUAUUUUUUAAUUAAAUAUUAAUAAUUCUAAUAUAUAAAUGACUUAUAAUAAUUAAUUAGGAGUAAUAUAAUAAAUUAUAAAGUAAUUAAGAAUAAAAUGAUAAAUAAUAAAGUGCUCAUCGAAAUCAGCUCCCCUAUAAUAUAUAGAAAAGAAAAGAGAUGUGGCCGUCAGAUCAAAAAUUUCACCGACAACGUUCAUUUAGCAAUGACAUUUGCCAACUCAAAAGCAUCAAAUUUGAAUUUACGAAUAAAUUAUCUAGCGAAUGUAAUUGUUUUGGCCGGCUGACCAUAUAUAUAUAAUGCCCUUCUUAUUUUGUCAUGCCUAUCUUAAGGUUUAUUGAUUUCUUGUAUAAUUUUUAACGUUUUCCAUGGCUGAAAUUAUACAAGGGUGCAGUUUCUUUAAUGUCUAUGAUUAUUAAUUACUUUUCAUGUGUGUUAAAUGGAAGUAACUUAAAUUACUUGAUAUCUGUUAAAGUACGAGUUUGGAUUUUUUUAUUUUUUUUCUCUUGCAUAUACUGAUUUAAGGGCUGAAAAUUAUUCAUCAGAAAAAAAGAGUAGAGGAUGCAACUAGACAUCAUUUCGAAAACAAAAGAAUAUGGAGUAUAUAUAUUAAGAUGAACUGACGUGACAAUGAUUGGUUACCAUAUGAUGAUCUCCAACAGUAAAAUUGGACAAAAUAUUCUGGAGUUUUUGGCCAUAAAAUCCAGGAUCCAAUGAAUCAAUGUCAUCCCAAUUAGUACUAGAAUUAGAACUACAAGAAGAAGAAUUGUGUCCUCCAGAAUUGCACCACUUCCCAUGCACCAGCCCCUGGGGCGAGCGAUCUAGGAUACCCCUGUCUAUCUCAUCUAAAGUAGGAUCGCCUUCUUUAAAUGGCCGAGCAAAUACUGCCCAUCUGUUCACAAGAUCAUCGUAGUGGUUUGAAACAUUUAUUGGCGCGGAACACCUGAGAUCCUGGUUUACUAUUGUUUUUAUAAAUUCUGGUGAAUUGCAUAGAACAGUGUGGAAGUAGGAUUCAAGAGGAGACACUACAUUGGCGUAGUACAUAAGUAACUUCCUAGGGAAAUUGUCCCAACCUUUGAUGCAGUGCUCCAUAAAUCCUCUGCUCAACACCAUCCAAGGCGAACCUAGAAAUUGAAAUUUAACAAGAAAUGAGAUCAUUUUUGAAAAUUACACAAUACAUUAUACAUAUAUAAAGCAAAUGAAUUAAUUAGCCAACCUUCGAAUAUAUCGAAAGUUGUUGGUACUUCUCUAGUCUCUACAGCAUAGUAAAGUGGAGCAGCCUGUUUUGAAUAUAGGCUUGGAUCAACAACAAUCCGAUUGAAGUUGUUCUGCCUGCAGUAACAUUGCAUUUUCAGAAAAACAAUCACACCCUUAGUUGCAGCGUUGGUUACGUGCAAAGCUCUAAGGUAUAUAUAUAAAAGGCGUAGUACAUAGACACUUGAUCUUAACUGACAACUAAGCAUCCCAACUUUGAAAAUGCACAUUUAGACUCCUUAACAUGGUUUGAGUUAGUCCCGAAAAAGGACUAUUGGCAAUCAGUGACAGCUUACCCUUUCUGAUCAAAAGUCCUAUUGGUGAAGCCUACGAAAUUGAGAUCCCUUGGCAAGGAAGUGAGAGCAAACAAGACAUCUGCAAUCAAAAGAGCGGAUGGUCAAUUAGUUGCAGUGUUACAAAGUAAUAGGACUAGCUAAGCUACUGGUGAUCACGAAAAAUUUACCAUCUUGAGUAAGAAGAGGGUAGUCAGAAGAGCUUAAGGUGAAAAACCAGUCCCAUGUCGGACUAAUUCGAAGGAGCAAGGCAGCAGCAUGAAGCAUAGCAGCAAGAGCAGAGGCACCUGAUUCCUCCACAGCAUAACUUUUUCCGACAACGUUCACAUUCCCAAAUACUUUAAACACAUGUUCGGAUUCAACUGAAACAGCUAAUUCAACUCUUUCUUCAUCUCCAUCUCCAUCAAGAAGUUGCAAAAGAUACUGAUUUCUUGGGUGAUACACUGCUCUUAAUAGCCUCAACAUUCUUUUACUUUCCCCUUUAUAACCAAAAAUCCAAUAAGCCAAGAUUGGAGGAUCACCAGGCCGUCCUUUUGACGGAUGGAUCAUCUUUGUAACUCUCUUUAUCGAUGCCACGUUUGCGCGAUCUGGAAUACUAUUCAUCAACCUGUACUGAUCAUCAAAUCUGCUGCAGAAGAAUCCUAAGACUAAAAGUAGCAAAACUGCUGCAACAAAAACCGGAAACGGAACACCUUGACGACUUCUCCAAUUCCAGGAAAGUAACAUCAUUGUUUAUUAUCUGUUGAAUAUUUGAUCUUAAUAUUAUACUGAAAGGCUUAAUGACGUGAAUUUUCAGGAAGAUGUAAUAGGCUUUGGCUAAUUAUGACAAGUGAAUAAAACAGGUUUGUGGGACAUGUUAGAGAGUGAAAAAAUAAGAUACGUUACCAACCAAAAUGAAACAGGUCAUGUGUGACAUCUUAAUUAAUUGUUAGGAAAUAAAUGCUAUGUUGAUGAAAACUUACAGCACAACUACACCACCAAAUUUCCAUGUUUUUUUCUGGUGACAAGGCAACAGCCGCUUCAAGCUGGAACUGCAGACAGUCCGUUCACCUUUAUUUGUUUUUAAUUUUUAUUUAUCCAUUUUAGCUUAUCAAGAAAAGAUAAUUUUUUUUUUAUAUUAUAAUCUUAAUAUUAACUACUCAUUCUAGAUCAUUUCUCAAGUCCGUUAAGAUUAUAAAUCAUAAUAAAAUAUGUACUUCAUUUUUUUCUCUUAAUGGUGUGUAAAAUCUAUUAUGAGCAAAUAAAAAUGAACGGAGAAAUUUUUUUUUUAAGUGAAGUAAUAGUAAAAGGUCAAAAUAAUACAGCUAGUUGGAACCAUUCAUCAGACGUGUAUUGAUUAGUCUUCUCAAGCACUCGGAUCAGCUAUUUUAAACUUUUAUGAGUUCUAUAAAAAUCUUAAAUUAAUAUAUGAUAAUAAGUAUAAUAUAAUACUAAUAACUGAAUUUACAAUCAAAUUUUCUCGAGGAAGCAUGAACCUGUAACGCUGACAGAGGUUAUAGUUUUUCGUGGGCUAGUUUUUCUUCUUCUUUUUUUUUUUCUUUUCAGAAAUUAUGUCAACCUAAUUCCCUUGUUUCAUUCCAACUUAAUAUAAUGCUCUUUUAAUUUUCAAAAUAGGUAUUUCAUAGUCAUGUAAGAGAUAUUGAAUCAUCCACUUGGAAAUCAGUUGAGUGUAAAAUUGCACAUUUAGCUUAUACAAUUAUGUCUACAUCUGUCCAUGAACAACUCCUUGAGACUCUUCUUUUCUAAAAAAAGAGAAGAAGGAAAAUUGGUUGGGGGUUGGGGGUAAGGAAACGGGGAAUAUGAAAGGGCUUGCAACGUGGGAAAUAUAACUCUCACCAACAAGAUGGAGUUCAGAUAGUCAACCAACUAAGCUACUAAGAUCCCUUAACUCUUUGCGACUCAUGUUUCUCUCCUCAUACUUCUAAAAUAAGUACAAACAAAACAUAUUUUCUACCUAGACGAAUCAAUAAUACACAUUUUAAUUAAUCAAAGGUUAGAUGUAUUUGGCCCCAUAAUAGGAUCAAGCGUGUUUCCACCGGAAGCAUAAUCUAAUAUUUCUUUUAGAGUUUAGAAGAAGUUCACAAGGACCAAAAGUCAAAAUUUACUAAUAAUUGAGGGACCAAAGAUGCUAUUAUCCCAAACUUAAAACAACCUCAUCACUAUUGUUCUGUUACUUAUCCAAACUGUCUUAACUACCAACAAUGUCCCUUUGGACAUGUACACUCUCUGUUUCCCCUCUUAGUGUUUCUCUUCAACAUCCUUCCUAUUCACUUACCCAAAACCCACCAAGAAAACUACCUUCUUCACUCACAAGUACACUCAUUUCCAAGAAAUAUCAACAAGAACUCACCUCAGAAACACCCUCUGUAGCUCCAUGGAUCGAUACUCUUCGGUCCCAAGUACGCUUAAACUGCUUCAAAGAAGCAAUCUUUACAUAUAUACAGAUGAAUGUUGAAGGCAUUAAGCCUGAUAAUUUUGUUUUCCCUGCUGUUCUGAAAGCUGUUACUGGUCUUCAGGACUUGAAUCUUGGAAAACAGAUACAUGGGGCUGUUGUUAAAUUUGGGUAUGAUACUACAUCAGUCACCGUGGCGAAUUCUGUUAUCCAUUUACUUGGGAGGUGCGGUGGGAGUGUUCAUGAUGUUUAUAAAGUGUUUGAUAGGAUUAGUCAGAGAGAUCAAGUUUCUUGGAAUUCUUUGAUUAAUGCUCUUUGUAAAUUUGAGGAGUGGGAGUUGGCAUUGGAGGCUUUUAGGUUGAUGGGGUUAGAUGGAUUCGAGGCUAGUUCAUUUACGUUGGUGAGUAUGGCACUUGCUUGUAGUAAUUUACCUAGGACUGAUGGGUUGAGGCUUGGAAAGCAAGUGCACGGGUAUAGUUUGAGAGUAGAUGAUAGGAGGACUUAUACAAACAAUGCUUUGAUGUCUAUGUAUGCAAAAUUAGGAAGAGUGGAUGAUGCAAGAGCUGUUUUUGAGUUGUUUACUGAUCGGGAUAUUGUUUCGUGGAAUACUAUUAUAAGUUCUUUUUCACAGAAUAACCAGUUUCAAGAGGCGUUGGAUAACUUUAGAGUCAUGAUACAAGAAGAGAUAAAGCUUGAUGGAGUCACGAUUUCAAGUGUUGUUCCUGCUUGUUCUCAUCUGGCUUUGCUGGAUGUUGGGAAGCAAAUUCAUUGUUAUGUUUUGAAGAAUGAGGAUUUGAUUGGGAACUCAUUUGUUGAUAGUGCAUUGGUUGAUAUGUAUUGCAAUUGUCAACAGGUUGAAAGUGGGCGUCGAGCUUUUGACAGUGCCUUGAAAAGGAGCAUAGGGCUUUGGAAUGCUAUGCUUGCUGGCUACACACAAAAUGGAUUCUUUACGGAGGCAUUGAUGUUAUUUACAGAGAUGGUGGAAUUCUCUGGGCUAAAUCCAAACCCGAUCACUAUCGCAAGUGUUUUGCCUGCCUGUGUACAUUGUGAAGAAUUUACCGUUAAAGAAGUCAUCCAUGGGUAUGUUAUUAAAUUGGGUUUCGCAGAUGAAAAGUACGUGGAAAAUGCACUGAUGGACUUGUAUUCUAGGAUGGGAAAGAUAAAUGUAUCAAAGUAUAUAUUUGACAACAUGGAGAGUAAAGAUAUAGUUUCAUGGAAUACUAUGAUAACCGGUUUUGUAGUUUGUGGAUACCAUGAAGAUGCACUUAUUAUGUUACGUGAGAUGCAAACAACAAAAAGAAACAAUGACACUGAGAAUAAUGUAGAAUUUCGGUUAAAACCUAACUCAAUAACCCUCAUGACCGUCCUUCCUGGUUGUGCCUCGCUGGUUGCUCUAGCAAAGGGCAAAGAGAUACAUGCUUAUGCUUUUAGAAAUGCAUUGGCAAUGGAUGUUGCCGUGGGAAGUGCAUUGGUUGAUAUGUAUGCAAAGUGUGGCUGCUUAGAUGUUGCUAAAAGAGUUUUUGACAGCAUGACUACCAAAAAUGUGAUCACAUGGAAUGUUCUCAUUAUGGCUUAUGGGAUGCAUGGAAAUGGAGAGGAAGCGUUAGAACUUUUUAGGAUGAUGGUGCUCGAAGGGAAAGUGAAGCCAAAUAAUGUUACCUUUAUUGCAAUUUUUGCUGGAUGCAGUCACUCAGGCAUGGUUGAUCAAGGUCGGCAAUUAUUCCGAAAAAUGAAAAAUGCUUAUGGUAUUGAACCAACUGCGGAUCAUUACGCCUGCAUUGUUGAUUUGCUUGGUCGAGCAGGCCAUCUGGAAGAAGCAUAUCAGCUUGUCAAUGAGAUGCCCCCUGAAUACAACAAAAUUGGCGCCUGGAGUAGUUUACUCGGUGCCUGCAGGAUACAUCACAACGUAGAACUUGGUGAGAUUUCAGCAAGGAAUCUCUUCGAGUUAGAUCCACAUGUAGCUAGUCACUAUGUUUUACUCUCCAACAUUUAUUCAUCUGCUGGGAUCUGGGAAAAAGCAAACAUGGUACGACGUAACAUGAAAAAUACUGGAGUAAGAAAAGAACCUGGAUGCAGUUGGAUUGAGUUAGGAGAUGAAGUUCACAAGUUCAUAGCUGGAGAUGCAUCACAUCCACAAAGUGAACAGCUAUAUGGCUUUCUCGAGACUUUGUCAGAGAAGAUGAAAAAGGAGGGUUAUGUACCAGACACUUCCUGUGUUCUUCACAAUGUUAACGAGGACGAAAAGGAAACUAUACUUUGUGGACACAGUGAAAAAUUAGCUAUAGCUUUUGGUAUACUCAAUUCACCUCCUGGAAACCCCAUACGUGUUGCAAAGAACCUUAGAGUAUGCAAUGACUGUCAUGAGGCAACUAAAUAUAUCUCCAAGAUUGUGAGGAGAGAGAUCAUUGUUAGGGAUGUAAGGAGGUUCCAUCACUUCAGUAAUGGAACCUGUUCAUGCAGGGAUUAUUGGUGAUAUAGUAUGUUCUGUAGAUUUAUACAAGUUUUGUUUAUAGAUUCUUUUGAUAUCCAAGCAUAGGUAAAUGCAUCAACUGUAACAUGAUUUGUUGAUUAUAUUGUUGAGAAUAACAUUUUGCAACCUAAAUAGUACUCUUAAUCUUGAACUUUUAGAUGCUGAGUCUUGGUGACAGUUUAGCAAAUAUGGAAAGCUCGUGUUAGACCUAAAAGGUUGUCACUGUUCAGCAAAUUGAGGCUUUUAAGUGCCAAAGUAAAUGCCUUCACUUUCUUUACAUCUUUGCAAGGCAGUAAAAAAAAAGAGAAUUAAACAGACCAUUUGCAUGGCCAAGUUAUUGCCUAAUGCUAUAACAAAAAAUGUAAGACGAGAUUACAGAAAAAUGGAAUUUCUACUGUAACAAAAUUGUCUUUGCCACUCUAGAUAGACAACUCUUCAUAUUUGGAUAGUAUCCAAGCCCGUGUGGGAUAAAUAUGCUCUGGCAUUCCACUAUUACACCUAUAAAAACAGCCUGAGAAGGGCCUUCAUCAAAGAAUGACUUCUAUUGUACAUUAAUCUGCAAACAAGUGUGAUAUUAUGCUGCCUCAACGGCUUCUUCCACCUGUGGCUGGCGCUUAGGUCUACCACAACGCUUUACAUCUUUACUUACCAAAAGCUUCAAGGCUUUUUCCAUCGUUAUGUCAUUGGGCUUUAAUUUCUGUCACCAAAAUCAGUAUAGACAACAUUAAUAUCCACAUCUACAAUUUCUAUCAGCAAAUACCAAAAUUUAUUAGCUAACCCAGCACCAAGAACUUCUCACGGGAAAAAAGAAAGAAACAUUAAAUCAUAACCAUUCACUAACAAACUCUAUUACUUCCCACGAUAUUAUGCACAAAGUUAUAGAAGUCUAAUAAUAUGAAUUGGAAGAAAACGUUAAAGUACUACUCCACGAUAGAUGUUUUUUCAUGCUUCACUGAUGCUGUUGUUGUGUCAUCACUUUCUAUCAUAUCAUUAUGUUUCCAUGAUAAUUUUCUCUAACAAAUACCUAAUAAGUAAAAUUAUUAUUCAGCAGAAGCUAGUAUAUCAAAACACAAUGUUUGAAUAAACAAUUCUUGCACAGAGAGAGAUUGAACCAAACCUUGGGUACUGGAGCAAUUGUUCGCCUAUGUCUGAUUGUAAAUCCAAACUUUGCAAGCUUUAAAACGACCGGCUGACCAUCAUCGGGAUGGUUUCCCUAUAGACAAGACCCAUUCAUCUUUUGUAUGCAUACUAAUAGCUAGUGAUAGAGAAAUUUAAAACUGAAGAUAGAAAUAAUAAAUACAUAGAAAGGAAGUAUGCAUUGCAACAACUAACCAAUGUUAUAGGGUAGCGCAGCAAAUCCAGGGCAUCUUCCAAGGUAACAGAACUGACAUCCUUCACCUAGAUCAUGAAAAAUGCAUUUACAUCACUGAUGAUCUAGCAAAAUAAACUUGUCACUUUUAACUAAAUGAGGAAGGCAAUAAGAGCAGUUAUUAAAAAAAAUAUAUUCCAGGUGUAAUUAUAUCAAAUGCAAACAAAAGCAAAAGGUAAUUCAGUUCACUUCUAAUCAUCAGAAGGGGGAAUAAAAGGCUCCACUCAGCGACUUGGACGAAGUGCAGUAUUUAUUUUCUAUUAUAGUAAUAUAAACGUCGAAAACUGGUAUUUGUACACGUGAAAGAAUCAAGUUCAAUAAAGUGCUUGUCAAAAUACCUGUGAAAGCGAAGCCCGCUUGGGAACGUGUCCUUUCUUGUCUUCUCCAAGUUGUACAUAGUAUCCAUAUGGACCAUUCUUCAAAAGAACCUAAAGAAAAAAGGCAUAAAGGUCUUUACAGCUCUGAGAACAAACAAUUAACUAAAAGGUAGCAAUCAACUCGUAUAACCAAUCAGCUGAUAUAUAAAAGGGUUUUGAAGUGGAAACCUUCUCAUUUGAUGAUGGAUUGACACCCAGCAAUUUCGGCGGCUCUACACUUCUUUUAGUGUCUUCAGAGGUGAUGUCUUCAUCCUCUUCACCAUAUAAUGUCUUGGCAAUAUACCUAACAAUGGAUGUCAAAACUACAUCAGCCAAUGACUUCAAAGCAACGAUAUCAAAAGAGUAGGAAAAAAGUAUAUGACUAUACUUCUUUUCAUUGUUCUGCACUAUCAAGAUAAUAACAGAUAUGUUACAACAGCAGGAGAUAACAGCCACUCUUUUUUUACGUUGUGUAUAUACUACCCAGCUGUGGCAGCUUUUCCUGGUUUUGGCUAACCUUAAAUGGGUUAUGCCAGGAAAGACUUUUGAACUUUUGACAGCUAGGGAUCAAACUGGGAGGAAUGUAAAGCAGACGAAAUGCUGGAAUUCAAUUCUUUUGGCAUUUGGUGGACCAUGUGGAGAAAAGGAAAUAGCAGAUGGUUUUGAGAACAAGAGUAAUCCAAUACAGAAAGUAAAGAUGGACUGUAUUUUGAGCUUGCAUUUUUGGUGUAAAGAAUUUUGCAUAGAGGAUGCUGAUGCCAUCCUAGAUUUUUUGUAAGCUUUGCGAAGUGUACACAGGCUUUCUUCUUUUCUUUGUACCAGUACAAUCUUUUUAUACUGAUGAGUAUAACGUUAUCUUACUAAAAAAAAAUGUUACACUGCUAAGAGGUUCAUAAGUUCAAGUGCUAACAACUUACAAGGUAUGGUAACUGAAGGAAAGAUUUAAUGCUGGAAAGAACAAACUUUAAGUUUAAGCUAAAGAACACUCCUGAUGCUUUAGAAGUAGCAACUCAAAGUGCAAAGGAUAUGGAAGCUAGAACCAGAGAAAGGGGGGAGGUAACUCUUCUUUUUUCCGGAUUGCAUUGCAUGAGAUAACAAUACAAUCUUUAAGGAGUUCACUGAGACUAAAGGUUUAGAAGGAAUCUUCAGUAAUGUGAGGUAGUGGAACUUCAAAGUCUGGUUGAAUUGCUCUAUACACAAAGUUCUUCAAUUGAUAGCCAGGAUUAUUGGGACUCGAGGGCAGGGUGUAGUGAGUUUGUUUUCAGUGAAGUCCUAUUGCAAUAAGCUCUAGACCUAAGAUGAAUCAACAUUUCCACAUCUAUCGACUUGAAUUCCUAGGGCGCCAAGAGAGUGUGUUUCUUUGCUUCGCUGGUAGCAGGGGACCGAUUCUAACAGGUUAAAAUUUGAGUUAAAGGAGAAUCAUAUAUGUCAGUGAGUGUAUGUGCAUGAUUUUUAGAGGGGUUGUGUUUAACUAUAUAGGAGAAGAUAAGAGGUAAUGGCAGCCGGCAGGAGAGAGCUAUUGGGGAGGAGAAGGUAUAUGGGAGACAGUGCGUUGUGCUGGUGAUAAGGCCCCUGGACUGGGCGGUUUUACCUUGGCUUUUAUUCAAACAGUUUGGAGCACAGUAAAAGGAGAUGUGAUGAAACCAUAGCUGCAGAAGAGACAUGAAGGCCUACAGCCCUUUUAGUCUAAUAGGAAAUAUCUGUAAGAUAACCUCAAGGUGCUUUUUAACAGACUAUAAGGUAGUAGACGCGACAGUGUCCGCUUCUCAGAAUGCAUUCGUGAUAGUGAGAUAAAUCUUAGAUGUGACACUGGUGACAAAUGAAGUGUUAGAUUCAAGAAGGAAGAAAGGUGAACUUGGGAGUCAGUGUAAGCUGGAUUCUGACAAGGCCAAUGAUCAUGUGAACUGGGAGUUUCUUGGACUUUGUUAUGAUAAAACUGGGAUCCGGGAUAAGUGGACAAAGUGGAUCAUUUGGUGACAAAUGAAGUGUUAGAUUCAAGAAGGAAGAAAGGUGAACCUGGGAGUCGAUGUAAGCUGAGAAGGCCUAUGAUCAUGUAUGUGAACUAGGAAUUUCUUAGACUUUGUAAUGAUAAAGAUGGGACCCAGGAUAAGUGGACAAACCUGCUUUUACAUUUUUUGAGUAAUGUCUCAGUUGUAGUGAGAUAUCUUCAGAUGGUUCGGGUUACAAAAGAUGAUACACACUGUGAAGGCUGAAGGGUGCACUGUGAAGCGGGACAUACGGAAGAAAUAGGAGAAAUAUAAAGGGAAUGGGAUGUUGUUCCAUUAGCACUCAUGUGUAUUAUAGGGAAAGGAAAGAGAGGAACAAGAAAGCUUUUAAAGGGACAGAAAAUGAUUUCAUAUAAUUGAGGAAUAGUUUCUUCUCCCUUAUUACUUUUUGAAGCACUAUGAGAUUCCAAUUUCUAUAGAAGAUCGGGUGUCUUUCUAGAGAAUCGUCUCGUAGAAGAAUCUCUAACUUUUUGGUAGUGGGUUGCAUAGGGGAGUUUUUCUUCUCAUUAUCAAUUAAGAAAUUGGAACAUCAAAGAAAAGACAAUACAAUGUUUAGAGCAUAUCAAUUACACUAUGUCAUAGUCUUUUUUGAGAAAGAUAACAGGUACACUAUGUCAUAGUCCAAAGACACGUGCAAAUAACUUCCAACUGAUCAUAUCAGAGGACUAAGAACUUCAUUAGUUCACAUAGAAGCUUGACACCAAUGUAGAUUCUUUCCGCACCUAGCUCCAUACAGUAUCUUAGCGCUCACUUUUGUUACUUAAUAAAACAUCUAUUUUUUUUGGAAAAGAUUCUUUCCACAAUUAGUGUACAGUAAUUGCAGACCCACUCUGCAAUUUUGCUACUUUAUUUAACAAGAGGAAGGUAUCUAAACUUUUUGAAACCCACAAUCCUUUUAAAAGCAUGUAAGGGUAAAUAAAAACAUCACAGUUGCAAGUGCAAGAACAGACACCACACCGACAUCUAUGGUAUCACGAGAAAUAAAUCCACAGUAUUUAAAAGAUCCAAAAUCUAUGCUAGCUCGUUACUCACUUGCAUUUUGGGUGUUGGUCACAACCUAUAAAGUAGCCUGCACCAAACCUGCUUACUUUGAAGAUUAAAGUUCCCUGAAGACAGCUUGGGCAUGUCCUGCUUUCAUCAGGAAGAGAUGCAAACAGAAAAUCACCAAACGUUUUCUCCAACAUCUUCUCCACCUGAUGAAUGUGCACAUUACCAGUAUGUUCACAAUACUUGCUAAAUCUAGUCCAGUAAUCUCUCAAAAGGCCUUUCCAUUCAGUCAAACCAGCAGAGACAUUAUCAAGCUCCGUCUCCAUAUCGGCAGUGAAGCUAUAAUCUGUUACUUCAGCAAAGUAAUGAGAGAGAAAUGCUGAUACCAUACGCCCACGAAAUUCAGGAUACAGUGUUCUGCCUUUGGCAGUGACAUAAUUCCUAUCCUUCAACACUUUUAUUGUGGCUGCAUAAGUAGAAGGUCUUCCGAUGCCGAGCUCCUCCAGCUUUUUAACCAAAGACCCCUCAGAGUAUCGUGGUGGAGGAUGAGUGUGGUGUUGCUCAAGUUUCACUUUACCCAAAUACAUUGGAUCCCCAGCAGUUAAAUUCCUAAGGGCCUCAAAUACUUCAGAACGAUCAUCCCUCCCAUUCUCGUUAUCUCUCGUUGAGUUAGUUUCCACAUCCUCAUAGACAGCUUGGUAUCCGGGAAACUGUACUUUUGAGCUUGUAGAACGAAAGAUUAUGGAUUGGUCAGGUUUCCCAAUAUCAACUUGUAUCUGCUCCGUGGUAGUAGGUUCCAUCUGGCAUGCCAUGGUACGGGACCAUAUAAGUUUGUAUAGCUUAAGUGCAUCAUCAUCCAGCACUCCAACAAGCUUUGAGGGUAGCCUUCGGAUAUCAGUGGGUCUAAUAGCUUCAUGGGCCUCUUGAGCAUUCUUCACCUUCUUGAAGUAUUUACGGGCAUUCUUGGAUGCAAAAUUCUGUCCAUACCUUUCGCUGAUAUAGGAUUGAAUAUCCUUGGUAGCUUCAUCUGAAAUGUGCAAUCCAUCUGUUCUGAUGUAAGUUAUCAAUCCUGUUGCCUUGCCAUCAGAUAACUGGAUCCCCUCAUAGAGUUUUUGAGCAAGUUUCAUCGUAUGUGUUGAUGAAAAGUCCAAUUUGUUUGCAGCAUCUUGCUGAAGUGUUGAUGUUAUAUAAGGAGGAGCGGGGUUUCUCUGCUUUUUGGUUAUCUUAGAGCUUAGAACUUCAAAGUUUGAUGCAUUUAUCUUCUGUUCAAUUUCCGCUGCUUCGGUAUGAGAACUAACAGAGAACUGACUUAAUUUCUUGGAAUCAAAAUGGGUUAAGUGGGAUGACAAAAGGUUAUUGGCUAAAUCUAGGUUUCCGCUCUUAAAUUCAACCAAGACUGUCCAAUAUUCCUGUGGUUUGAAUCCAUCAAUUUCCAUUUCUCUGUCACAUAUAAGUGAUAGGGCAGCAGACUGAACCCGACCCGCAGAUUGGCAACCAGGUAAUUUCCUCCAUAGCAGUGGAGAAAUGUUGAAACCAAUCAAGUAAUCAAGAGCACGCCUUGCAAGAUAAGCAUGCACUAAAUUUGCGUCAAUCCCCCUUGGAGACUGGAGGGAAGCUUUGAUGGAUGAUUCAGUAAUUUCAUUGAAAACAACCCUUGCCACAUUAAUAUCAUCACGCAGGGCAUCCUGUUGCUGUAACAUCUCUAUAAUGUGCCAAGAAAUAGCCUCUCCUUCACGAUCAGGAUCUGAUGCAAGAACAAGAUUCUGGGCUCUGAGAAUUAAGGACGAACAGAUAAGAAACUGAGCAUGACAUUGCUUUAAACAGUUCCAACCAAAAAAUAGCCAUUUUAUGAAAAAAUUUGGAAUCCGGUGCAUGUCUUCCAUCUUCUCUAUGUAAUUGUCAAUUUGUUAAACUGAACAUUGAUGAAACUCAGAACUGUUUUUCUUUUUUUCACUAUAAUUAUGAUCAUUUAAUUGUAGAACAAUUAAAAAAUAAAUAUGGAUCACUUAAUAAUCACUAAUCCUCCCCAACGUGUUAGCAACAUGUUAAUAGAUUGCUAAUCAGAAGUUGGACCAACAGAUAACAUACCCAUUUAGCGCAACUUUGAUGCUUUUAAGAUGAGUCCAGGCAGCAGAAGGAACUUCCCAUACCAUGCUGAAGUCAUCAUCUGGUCGGACAGAUCCAGACCUUGCAGCUAAGUCCCUAACAUGACCAUAACUAGGCAGGACUUCAAACAUGUCACCAAGGUACCCUUGAAUGACUUUCGCCUUUGUGACAGACUCUACCACCAGUACAGUCUUUGCUGUGGGAGGAUAUAGUUUUGGCCAAUUUUUUUGUCCCGGGGACUUACUUUUGCUGCUCACAUCUGAACUCUUGUCUGGUACUAACUUACUAUCAGAUGGCAAUACAGAUGCCUCAUUCAGUUCAUCAAAAGAACUGCUCUUCUUAGUGGAUUUUCUUUUCCUGGGAGAGCUUCUUUUCCCGUGGGCCAAGUCAACCUUCAUAGAUACAUUACCAGCAGUCCCUACUGUGGAAGAAUGAACAGGCGAAAUAAUCUGGAAUACUGCAAGGUUAGUGCAGGUAAUUAUGCAGCAAAACACAUCAAAAAUGGCAAUUCCAGAAAUUGAAAAAUUGCAAACCUCUGAUACUGCUGGAGAUUGCUCAUCUUUAGCAGGGCUAGACUUCUUUGCAUGGGGAGUCCUAGAAACUGUUGGCUGAUCUACUGCAUCAGAAGCAACAUUUUUAUUCUUUUUGCUUGAUUGCUUCUUUGCUUUCUCCUUACCCAUGGAUGUUGGCUUUCCAUUAUUAGAUGGACCUGAAAUGUCCAGGUUGACAUCCUUCUCAUCAACCUUAAUCGGGGUGUCAUUUGAAAUGACCAGAUCAAUAUUCUUACUAGCUGACACUUUAGAGUUUGGAGUGACCUUUUCAGGCCCCUUGUCCGACAUAGCAUUUCUUCUAUGAACAGACAAUUCCUUUGACCGCUCUGAGUGGUACUUAAAAUUUUUAAAGAAUGGUUUAUUUCCAUCACUAACAAUUUUUGCUCCAACAGUGCCUUUAUCUGCAAUUGCUCUUGCAUCACGCGAAAAAUGCAUUUUUCCAUUUGUGUUGUAUGGACGCGAACCUAUUACUCCAAAUGGCCUGAAACUGAAAAUGGGCAUUGGUGUAUUGGCAAAUCCCUCUGAUAGAAGAUGGAUACCAAAUGAAGAAGAUCUAGGCUCAUUAGUAUAGCAUCUGAGAGGAUGAAUUUUCUGUAGAGACAAGACUCUUAAAUUCCUUGGUUGCCUCCGACAACAUAUCCUAGCUUUACGAGACAGUUUCUCAAAACUGCCAAUAGUGGCAACCGUCGAACAUUGGAAGCAAUUUGCCUGAUAAUUAUGUAGGGUCUUGUUCUGCAACUUAACAAAAAAAUAUUGGUAAAGUCAAUAACAUAAACAAGACUCAUCAAGUAAUACGACAAAUGAUAAAGCACUCCGAAAUAAUACUAGUACUAUAGCUACUAGCACGGAUAACAAAACAAAGUCCUACCUACAGCAAUGACGCACUCCUUCUAUUAAGUAUCCCACAUCGGAAUAGGGAUGGAUAAUUGGUCUCCUUAUAUGGACUUGGACAAUCCUCCCCUCAUGAGCGCUUAUGAGGGGAGGAUUGUCCAAGUCCAUAUAAGGAAACCAAUUACCCAUCCCUAUUCGAUGUGGGAUACUUAACACUCCCCCACACGCCCAGACCUCGUUAACUGGAGCAUGGACAAUAUAAUAUGGGGCCCCAACAUCGGUGAACAAAGAUUUGGGAUGGGUCUGACUCUGAUACCAUGUGAGAAUUAAUGGAGAAAAAUAUUAUUGAAUUGUGUGUUUACAUAAUUACACCGAGACCCUAUUUAUAGACACUAUAGUACAAUCCUUUUCCAAGUAGGAUUUUUAUAUAUUAUUCCUAUUUCUACUCAUAUUCUAACACCUUCCUACUAACCUUCUACCCUUAUCCACCUCCUCUACACCUCCUAUCUAGGGUCAUGUCCUCGAUAAAUUGGAGUUGCUCCAUGUCGGUUCUAAUCAGCUCCCAUCAAUAUUUCUUCGGUCUACCUCUACUUCGCCUAAAUCCAUCCCUAGCCAACCUCUCACAACUCCGGACUGGGGCAUCCGUGCCCCUCCUCAUCACAUGACCAAACCAUCUCAACCUCGCUUCCCUCAUAUUAUCCUGAAGCCACUCCGCUUUAUCUCAAAUAACCUCAUUUUUAAUCCUAUCUUUCCUAGUACACCCACACAUCCACCGUAGCAUUCUCCGCUUCGCCACCUUUAUCUUUCGGAUGUGAGAUUAUUUAUCUAGAUUAUAUAUAAAAAUGCUUUUAGGAUAAUGUUUUUUUGCUCAUGCGUCGAACACAAGAAAAUAAGUAAGAAAUGACUUAUUUUCCAGGAAAACAUCUUCCUUCAUUCCGAACACACGUUAAAUUUCAACUCAAACCAAACAACUAAAUGAGAAAAAGAUGGAAACUUUUACUUACCGUGAUAGAGCGACAGCUAGUAGAGGCAGUAGUNNNNNNNNNNNNNNNNNNNNNNNNNNNNNNNNNNNNNNNNNNNNNNNNNNNNNNNNNNNNNNNNNNNNNNNNNNNNNNNNNNNNNNNNNNNNNNNNNNNNNNNNNNNNNNNNNNNNNNNNNNNNNNNNNNNNNNNNNNNNNNNNNNNNNNNNNNNNNNNNNNNNNNNNNNNNNNNNNNNNNNNNNNNNNNNNNNNNNNNNNNNNNNNNNNNNNNNNNNNNNNNNNNNNNNNNNNNNNNNNNNNNNNNNNNNNNNNNNNNNNNNNNNNNNNNNNNNNNNNNNNNNNNNNNNNNNNNNNNNNNNNNNNNNNNNNNNNNNNNNNNNNNNNNNNNNNNNNNNNNNNNNNNNNNNNNNNNNNNNNNNNNNNNNNNNNNNNNNNNNNNNNNNNNNNNNNNNNNNNNNNNNNNNNNNNNNNNNNNNNNNNNNNNNNNNNNNNNNNNNNNNNNNNNNNNNNNNNNNNNNNNNNNNNNNNNNNNNNNNNNNNNNNNNNNNNNNNNNNNNNNNNNNNNNNNNNNNNNNNNNNNNNNNNNNNNNNNNNNNNNNNNNNNNNNNNNNNNNNNNNNNNNNNNNNNNNNNNNNNNNNNNNNNNNNNNNNNNNNNNNNNNNNNNNNNNNNNNNNNNNNNNNNNNNNNNNNNNNNNNNNNNNNNNNNNNNNNNNNNNNNNNNNNNNNNNNNNNNNNNNNNNNNNNNNNNNNNNNNNNNNNNNNNNNNNNNNNNNNNNNNNNNNNNNNNNNNNNNNNNNNNNNNNNNNNNNNNNNNNNNNNNNNNNNNNNNNNNNNNNNNNNNNNNNNNNNNNNNNNNNNNNNNNNNNNNNNNNNNNNNNNNNNNNNNNNNNNNNNNNNNNNNNNNNNNNNNNNNNNNNNNNNNNNNNNNNNNNNNNNNNNNNNNNNNNNNNNNNNNNNNNNNNNNNNNNNNNNNNNNNNNNNNNNNNNNNNNNNNNNNNNNNNNNNNNNNNNNNNNNNNNNNNNNNNNNNNNNNNNNNNNNNNNNNNNNNNNNNNNNNNNNNNNNNNNNNNNNNNNNNNNNNNNNNNNNNNNNNNNNNNNNNNNNNNNNNNNNNNNNNNNNNNNNNNNNNNNNNNNNNNNNNNNNNNNNNNNNNNNNNNNNNNNNNNNNNNNNNNNNNNNNNNNNNNNNNNNNNNNNNNNNNNNNNNNNNNNNNNNNNNNNNNNNNNNNNNNNNNNNNNNNNNNNNNNNNNNNNNNNNNNNNNNUGUGUUGUGUGAAGUGGUGAAGGGGUUUUGGGCAAGAAAAGAGGAUGAGAGGGUUUAAACAGGUUGUAGUACUAAGGACAGCGUUAUUUCUAAUUUUCUUUUUUUUUCUUAUUUUCUUGUUGGGUUGUAAUGUUUUUAUUUUUCUAUUUGUAAGCUUAUUACUAUACUAUUAAAAUUCACUUAUUUUAAUAAAAUUGUUACUAUUACUUUUAUUUCUUUAUAGAUCCUACUAAAAACAAAAAGUUUAUUCGAUUAAAGAAAAUGAAUCAUGAAAUAAGUUUCUUCAGAAAAAAAAAAAAAAAAAAAAAAAGCGGAGUGAGAGAAUUUUAAAUAACUUAAAUAAUGUAAUAUACAAAUACUAGUACAAUACUCAAUAGUUAAAAGAAAUAUAUAUUUAGUAACAUCUUAAAUUAUUUAUUUUUUUAUAUUAUUAGGUUUCGUGACAUAUUAGUUAUGCUUAACCUUAAAAAAAAAAUUAAAUGCCAUCAUUUCUUUGUUCGGUGAAAAUUCCUACAUAAGCUUAAUAUAUAUUUCAUAAGCCACACGGCUUAAUUCAAUCAAGAAAAUAAACACAAUUUUCUUGUGUCUAUCACGACAUAUUAGAGAUCACUGUCUGCAAUUUUAGUUUACUAGAAAAUCUACAUAUUUGUUUGCAUCCCUCGAAGAGAGAGUAUUGCAAGUUUGAUGACACAGAAUUACUCUAAUGUCUGGCCCUCAUUUAGUUAAAAAGAGAAGGAAAAAUCUUGCUAACUGCCUUUUUAUCCUUAAACAACUUAAAGUACAUUAUUUUAAUAAUAUUAUGUAAAUGUAUUUGCUGAAAUUCAAAUGAAGAAAUAUGGUCAAUGAGAAUUAAUAUAUUCAAUCCCAAUUUAUAAAAGCUUGAAGCAUAGUUAUUAUUGAUCGUCUUUUGGCCUGCUUUGUUUCCAUUUUUGUCAUAAUAACUCAUAGUUCUUUAUUCCUCAGUAAAUAAAAGUGCAAAACUAUCAUUCAUUUUCAUCAAUGAUUUCUACAGAGAAACUUCCAUUUUUCUUCACUUCCUAUCUUUCCAAAACUAAUGUACAAGGCAUUUUCCACCUGUACACCAUUACUAACUACUUCCUAGCCCCUCCCCAAACCAACCAAAGCCCUCAAAUGUUCUUAACAAUGAGCUGCAAAAGCAUUUGUGAUUGAUAAAGCUUUCUGGAUAGCUGCAAUGGAACCAUAUUCUUGGCGCCGUCUGCUACGGCUACAUGAUUUCUGGCAAUGAUUACUUCAUAUCCUGUUGUUAUUCAUGUUCUAGAACAGAAUCCUGUCUUGGUAAAUGUCCAAUGCCUGUAUAACCUUUUCUAUCAGUAAUUUCCGGUGUAAUCUAUACCUGCCACAAACGGAAGCAUCAUGUAAAUAAGAUCUGCAUUUGCUUUGAAACAAAGACUAAAUGAUCCUGCAUGCAAUGGCGAAUAAUUCACGUAUUACAUACUUUAUUGCUGCUUCAAAUGUUCUCCUGCAUUCGGGCAUCGAAUCUGUUCACAGUAAACCAAGAAAAUGAAUACACUGUUGGACAAACUUUAUGACGUGAAUAAUGACAAUAUAACUAUUGCAAAGUCAACCAAUGAAAUUAAAACACAGUAAACAGUGUCAGCUAGGCUGGAGCAGGAUGCCUACAAGCUUAUAAUUUGUAAUUCGAAGUCAAAGCUUAUGAUGUCAGUCGGUACUCAGAUUGAUGAUUCUGAACUCAAUUUAUCAAAGUAAAUCCACAUCCAAAUUAUCAUCAUUAUCAAUAUUGUUCUUGACCAGGAUAUGCAGGUACCCAUCAUAACACAUACAAAAAUGGACUAAUAUUUCUUCUCCAGCAUGCAUCAUUACAUAGAAGUAUAUAAUCCAGGCUUACCUAGGAUUUUCUGGUCUUCAUCAGAAGUUGUGGGGAACUCUGCAAGCAUCUGGUGGCAUUCUUCUUGCAGUUCCUUCACUGCUUUCCUCUCUAAACUUGGAAUUGGAGGGAGAUCUCCAUCUGACCAAGUAGGCAACGUUCUUGCCGCUGCUAUGAUUGCUCCAUCGACGAACCCAUCUCCAUCAUUUGAUAGCCUACCUGCUACAAGUUUUAAACAAGGAUUCUGGACAUUAAUUACAAAGCUAGAUCAGUGAAGGAGCUAAUAUAUCAAAAAGAUUAUUUAUGACCCAUACUGUUGUGGUAGUAUUCUCCAGGGAGGCCAGAUAUGUUAAAGACUGAUAAGAAGGUGUCUAGAUGAAUUUUGGCAUCGCCGGUGAAAUUAAUAACAUCCCAAGGAUUCUGCAAUAUCAAAUAUAUAUAUUAUGGUCAGCGUCAAUAGAAAAAGAACAAAAAAAAAGAGAGACAAGACACAAGUACACACCCCACCCACCCAACCAACCACCAUAAAAAAAAGUAUAAUUGAAUUUGCUAUGACACACCUAAAUUUUACAAGGGUCCUAUUACCCCCCUAAACUCAUUUUUUUUUUUGUAUUUUUGUGUUCCUUUUUGCUGACGUGGCUGUCAAGAAACCUCAGUGUCAAACCAAAAAAUCAAUAAUCACAUCAAAUUCAUUUCCAUGUUCUGGAGAUAGAUUGCCCUGACAACUACUUAAAAUCAUAACCUUGGUCGGGAUAAUUCUUAAAAGAUGAACUGCAUGUAUAUCUUUUCUCUUUCUUCCACUGAUCCAGUACAAAUAUCAAGAUUUCUUGUAAUAUAUGGAGCAUCAUCGAGCAAUACUAGUUUAAUCAAAACUCAAAGCCUGCUCAAAAUUCCAUGUUUAGAUGCCCAAAUGAAUCUGCUCUUAAUUUACAACAUGCACAUAAAAAGCUGAAGAGAAGGGCAACAACUGGUUUCCCUUACACUCUUGCGUUUAUUGCAUCUUCACUUGUCAGGGCUUAAUGACCCCCUCCAGAAUCUUCAAUAUUUAUGGAUAGUAGACAUUGACUGUCCGUUUAAGGCAACUUCUUGUCAGUCAUUUACUGUCGCAUUCUUGCUUAUAGAAAAAAUUAUGGCAAUAAAUAGCACUACGUAAAACCAGUGGUACUAGGGCCUUUGAGUGGAAUUUCAUACUUAUCACCAAAAAGUACGACACAACUUCUGUUUCUUGGGAAGAGUAAAGAAAAAGACUACAUUACCACAGGUGAUGAGAAACCAUAUCUCUGCAUAAAAAAGUCAUUCUUCUGUCCAGCCAUGUAAUCAACAGUCAUCUGCAAGAAUUCAUAAAGGCCAUGUUAGGGUCAAUGGGUCAUCCUAUCAAGAUAUGCAAAAGUAAUAGAGAAAGCCAGGGCUACAUAUAAUUUUAUAGGUGACGACUGACGGCAUGACAUCGAUCACAGCUAACCUCCAAACCACUCCCCACCCCCCAAAACCUGCCAUACGAAGUCAACUAUUUAGAAAAUGAUAGUCCUUCACAAAAAGUUACACAUCACCAAGAAGCUAAAAAAGGUCAAAUUAGGACAAACAAGAAUCUUAUUAACAAGUUUCCUGUCAAUUCACUAUCCAAAGUAAGAAAUAUUUUUGGAACUUUUCUUUCUCAUUCGUUCCCAAAACAUGAGAACCCUUGAAGUACAACACCAAGAAAUAAAGUUCGACGCAGACAAAAGAGAAUGUUAAGUUAAAAGAUCAUUCAUAAAAGAAAUUGCAGCAAAUGCUUGCCGAAAAGAGAGGACAAAAUAUUUAUUAAGCUUCUAUUCUCAUCAAAAACAAAGCAGCAAAGCUAAUUUAACACUAUAAUCUGAUAAGCUAUCACAUAGAAGGAAACGGAAUGCGUAACAAAGAUCAUAAUAUCAUUUUAGCAUCAUUGCUACUUGUAUCCCAUGCCUGACACCUAUGCAAACCUACCAAUUCAGUGAUCAAUUACACAAGUUUCCCAUAUUUCCUGAGCCCAUGCAUACUAUUUCUUCUUCCAUUUAUAACCUAUACUUUUCCUUUGCCUUGUUCUAUAGAGUGGUGGUUAGACCAACUACGUUGUAUGGGGCAGAGUUUUGGCUAAUCAAAAACUCUCAUUUUCAAAAGGUGCAAAUUGUGAAAAUGAGGAUGUUGACAUAGAUGUUUGGACUUACUAGGAGAGAUAAGAUUAGAAAUGAAAAUAUCUGGGACAAGGUGGGAGUGGCAUCAGUAGAGGACAAGAUGCAGAAGCAAGAUUGAGAUGGUCCGGGAAUAUGAAGAGGAGAUGCUCGGAUGCCCUAGCGUAGAUGUGCGAGAGGUUGGCUAUGGAUGGUUUCAAAACAGGUAGUAGUAGACCAGAGGAGUAAUGGGAAGAGGUGAUUAGACAGGACAUGAUACAGCUUCAGUUUAUCGAGGACAUGACCCUAUGUGUUAUCAAAAGCAAAAUGCACAAAAAAGUUUUAAGAUCAUCUAGGGCUUUAAACACAAAGUGUUGGCUUUAAUUUUAAAACAAAAAAAAGCGCAAAGGGAGAAAAAAUACAAUAUAUAUGUUUAGUCCAAGACUAAGCAUGAAUAACAAAUAUAUGAACAAAGAAAUUGAAAAAAAUUACGAUAAAGUGAAAUAUCAAUUGUUUAGUGUUGCCUCUUCAAAAAGCGUUCAUUGGCAAGGAAAAGUAUGUCUAAGAACCUUGAUGACGACACUAAAGUGCACAUUACGUGAGGCGUUCAACACAUUUUGAGGCUUGCUUUAGGGCUUAAGUGCACCUUUGACAACUCUGAUGACCAUAAAGUAGGAGGCUAUGAAGGACACGGAUUAGGGUAGAAGGCCAAUAGGUAGUGAGCUUUGUCUCACUUACCCUUCAAUUAAUAGUCGUAGUGGCACUCUUGUAGUUUCUUGUUCUUUGAUUUUUGUUACUAUAUGUUGUUUUUCGUACUUCGUUUGCAGUACCUUUUUUGAAUUAAUUCGAUUAGAAUAUUACUUUGUUGUAGCUAUUGCUCCUGAUUUUCUACUCCCUCCAAUCCUUUUUAGUUGUCAUAUAUGCUAAAAAUAGUUGUUCCUAAAUACUUAUCAAUUUUAUAAUAAAAAACAAUAAGGGAUUAUUUUUUUCCAACUUUGCCCUUAGCAUAUUCUAGAAUUAAGAGGCAAGUAAAUAGACAAAGAUUAAAAAAUUAAUAAGGGAUAUAUAAGUCAAAUACGCUCAUAAUUUUUUUUUUCUAAAGGAUUGUGCAAAAUCUUAUCCUGAUUCCUGACAACUAAAAAGGAAUGGAGGGAGUAGAUCGUUUGUCAUGCUAUCUUUAGUUUUUUGCCAUGGCUUCUUCACAUCUGUUAUUUCCUUUCUAGAACUACAUUGAUAUGAUUUUCCUUGAGCCGAGAGUCUAUCGGAAACAACCUCUCUACCUUCCAAGGUAGGGGUGAGGUCUGCGUACACAAUACCCUCCCUAGACCCCACUUGCUGGAUUACACUAGGUAUUGUUGUUAUUGUUGUUGUAGUACUUUUUCUUUUGCUUCUUUUCCUUGGUGAAAGGCAAGGCCUUGCAUGCGGUGAAGUGGAAAGAAAGUCAGUGGCAUCAGACGAGACCAUCCUUAAAUAUGCAAGAUUUUGAUGUCGGAAAUGUCUUUUGGAGCUUAGAUAAGCAAGACUCUGAUGUAAGAAAUGCAUCCUUAAAAUUAAGAUAACUCUAGAUAUUAAAUGUCAUGACCUAUGUUCAGAAAGAAAAUGGAAUACAAAUAUCUGCACCAUAGAAUGUAAGAAAUGCCCUUUUGAGCAGAAAAGGGUAGAAAUAAGCAUGUGACUCAUGCCAUCUUCUCCAAAUGAAUUAUCCAAAAUAAGCAGACUCAUUGGGAAAUCUAGUUGUAUUCCCUAUUUGAUUAGUUGCCCAACUAAUACAAACACAUCAAAAUUCAAAUGGAGCCCUCACUAGAUCUAGAUGGCUAAAAGGAUUUACCUCAUCGCCUUUUUUAAUUCUUUGUCCUGCAUUUAUCAUCACCUCCAGCAUGCGGUCCUUGAAGCGCCAAUGGAAAAAGCAAUUUGGCUGAAAAGAAUGAUUCAUCAUGUCUGGAGGAAGAGAUGAGUAAAGAUUAGAAGGAUUUCUCAUGAAUAAAGCUUGGUUGAGAAUGUUAAGAUUUCUCUCCAUCCACCAAACUUUAAAACACUAACUUUUAAUUGUGUGUUGUCUAAAUAAACCAAUUUAAGCCACAUUUUCACUCUCGAAAUAUUGGAGGACAGAAGUACAACAGAAGAUGCUCACCAGCAUAAGGUACCAACAUAUUUGCAUCUUGAACCAGUGCACCAAUUCUCGUCUGCAAGUUGAUGCAUCGAGAUUGUGCUAUACUCAUUGCCCAAAUAAAUCUCUCAGGAUCCCGAGCAAGACGCUUAAUCUUGAGAGGUACUGCAGAAUGCUAAACAAAUGAAGAAAGUCAAAGGCCAUUGUUAAUGAGCAGGAAUUUGGAGGAAAUAAAUUGAACAAGAUUGUAUGGGAGGAAUUUGGAAGAAAUAGAUUGAACAAGAUUGUAUGUACCCAGUUUUUCUCCCAAAACUCAAGUGCCCGAUGUUGCUGUUCCCUCAUGGUUGAAGCAAGCUUCUCGUCUUGCAACUCCAAAAGAUCCUCCUACAGCACAGAAAGCAUUAAGAAGAAAGAGCGUGCCAGGAACGCAAAACAAGUGUUCAUUAUAACUCUAGAACUGACAUUCUAGAAAUCAGUCCACCAAGUACAUGCCAAAUGCAGCCAUUCCUUGUUUUUGUUUGCAACAGAUCUUUCUGAUCAAAACCAGCCCAGCUGACUAAUGGAAAAUGCAAACCACAGAAGUGAUCAAGCUUCAAGCAUUUAUUGUUUUUCAGUUAGAAAACCCAAAUGGUACUUCAAAUUUAGACUUUUGGUGCAGAAGAAAGUCUCAAUAGACACACACAUUAAAACAACACUCAGUAGACGAAAUUUUUCUAUCAAACAACAGUUUGAAUAUCAUAAAAGCUUUUUUUUUUUCACAUUUCAAGUUACUCAAACUUGAACCUCAGCAGAACAUCAUAACAAAAUGAGGAUUGAUUUUGUGAAUGCACAGCAUUUUCUAUAGAAUCUUCCUCAAAAUAUUACAUUAAUUGAAAGCACCUAAAUUUGGAUAACACUCAUAUCCAGACCUCAGUAGCUAGAAGAAAGCUAGUACAUUCAUCAGCACUAGGCAAGAAGUCUCCAUAAAGCUGCCAAAAGUUGUCCUUGCAAUCAAAAGCAUAUAAAAGAAGACAUGCCAACCUCAAGUCCGAAUCUGUCUGCCAACAAAAGCUGAUCAAUAUUAAAAAAUCACAAGAGAUCUUAGAAUGCCAGACUGAAUUGAAAAAAUCAAAGAACAAACAAAGAAAAAUGCAGAUAAAUAUAUUCCCAUGUGUACGGUGUUGCAUUAGAGAAAAAAGGUAACACUUCUAUUUUUAUUUCUUAACCAGCCAAAGAAAAUGUGGAUAAGUUUUUUCUCAUGUUUACAAUUAGAGAAGAUUUCAAAGGAGAAAAUGCAUCCUUUUACCUCAGGAUUGGUUGAAUUGAUAAUGUCGAAUAUUGGAUGUCCUAAAGGUAUGAUAUCUGGAAAAAACAUCCAAGGAAGCUUUUUGCUUAUUGUUAACAUCAGUUCUAGAGGAAUUUCCAUUAUUACCUGCAUUACAAACAAAACCUCAUCAUUCAUUGACCGGUAAAGAUUUUAAUGAUAACGAAAAGGUGAGAAGAUAAUCAAAGUGAAAAGAGGAAUCAAACAGUCGAGUUAAUGCAAAAUGAAUUAGACACAAUCGAAACUACGUAAGACAUUAUAGAAUACACCACAGCAGGAGAAAAGUUAGAAGUGCCUAGGCACUGACACAUAUAUCUUAAAAGGGCAGCCCAAUGCACUAAAGCUCUUGGGCAGGGUCAGGGGAAGGGCCCGACCACAAGGAUCUAUUGUACACAGCCUUACCUUGCAUUUCUGCAGGAGGCUGUUUCCAAGGCUUGAACUCGUGACCUCCUGGUCACAUGGCAGCAACGUUAGCAACUUUACCAGUUACUCCAAAGCUCCCCUUCACUGACACAUAUACCUUAUGGUGUUAAAAAGCAAAUGAGGGAAAUAAACUUAGGAAACUCAUCCCAGAAAGAAGGAAGGGAGAGUAGAUUAAAGGGCACUACAAUUCUCCCAUGUCCUUUUUUUCCACUUCCUCCAAUUUUCAGGGGCGGAAUGGAUUGGAUGAAGUUCAGCUUUAGGUAUAGCAAAACAUUGAUGGAGCACUGAAUUUGACACUGUGUCCGAUGGUAAAGUUACACAUUCCAUCAGGAGGAGGAAAACGUUCUACACAAAAACAUAGUGUAAGGUAGUGCUCACCCUAGCUCGACGAAGAGGCUCCACGUCUUUGGAAGCAAACACUCCAUACCCAUCUGGCCCCUCCCUGAAUUCAAUUCCGUAGGCUCGAAAACUUCUAACAUAUCCUAUUUUGUAGAAAUCAGGAUCUGCCAGUUCCAACUGUUCAUAUGAAAAUAUUACAUAACCUUCAUCAACAGGAGAAAAUAAGGAUAAUUUGAAAUAAUCAAAAAGAAUAACAAACAGGAAACUAUAUGGUCAUCAGCUUCUCAAAAGAAAAUCAAAGGAUGUAAGACCGAGAAAAGAGAGGGACUCUAACCAUCAGUUUGACUAUGUAACAACAGAGAUGGGAAAUCUAUACAUGCCAAUGUGAAAAUGAAACUGAGCAUUUAACUGAAAAUCUUAAGGCAAUUGGGGAGUAGCUUAAAAUCUUUAUAAACCCUUUGGAUGCCCCUAAAUACCAGAUGUGAGGCAUCCUAUAUAUCCGAAACCCUUCGCCCAAACUUGAAAAGCACACGUGAAUUUGAAUGCAGACUCACGUGUGUGAGAACAGACUUAAUAAUUGGUGAAAAUUUCCGACUUAUUAAACGAAAAUUUAUUCAGUGGGGGAGUAAUACAAUGCCUUUAAAAAGAACAGUUAUCAUGCCCCUAACCUGAUGUAGAACAUUUUAUAUUACUAACAUAGUAAUCACCAAAAAAAUUAUAUGGGACCUGAAAGUAUUCUAUACCUAGACACAAAGAAUUUGUGAAGAAAAACUCAAAUGAGGAACAAAACCAAUUCAAAAGUACGACAAUCUGCCGAUCUUCAAAGUGUAACUCCUAUCUUUUCCAAAUAUCAACUGCCUGGCUAGCACUUCCUUCAAUUUAUUGAGAAACAAGUACUUCAUGUUAUGCGCAGGGUGCACUAAAUCUCCUACUAUGCGUAGGGUUCGGGGAAGGGCCCCACCACAAGGUGUAUUGUACGCAGUCUUACCUUGCAGUUCUGCCAAAGGUUGUUUCCAAGGCUUGAACCUAUGAACUAACUAGUAAAGAAAGAGAAACCAUGUCUAAAAAGGAAAAUGUAUGCAGUGCUAAAACUUAAGGUGUCCAUUCUAGCUGGUUUAGAGGUGAAUUAUGCAGGUAUUAAAUCUUACAUAAGUAUAUCAUGUUUGGUAGUUGGUUAAGAGGUAAGUUAUUCAUAAGUAUAUCAUGUUUGGUAGCUGGUUAAGAGGUAAGUUAUUCAUGUAUAAAAUUAAUAAGGUGUUUGGUUUGCAAUUUAGAAACCCGCAUAACUAACACAUGUAUAAGCUACGCUGGAAUCAUGAUAGAAGGUGGAACAAUUAAUACAUAAAUAACUAAACACGAAAUAAAAUAAUAAUUCCUCAUAACUAAUCCUUGAAUUACUAAUACCUACAUAACGCUAACUAGCUAUCAAACGACCCUUACUGCAGAAAAGCACAUAAAAAUACUGCAGAAAUUAGCACUUAAACAAUGAACUUACCGAAUGAAAACAACACAGAAAGUAAGACGAAGUGGUAACUUCAAGAAGAUGAAAAAAGAGGAAACUUUGGCAAGUAGAAAAUACCUGGGAAGCAGGAGUAUCUUGGGGUUGAGAAGGAGGUGUAAAAAGAGGAAAUGAAGAAGGAGAGGGAGAAGAAUCAUAGGCCUCCAAAGUGGAAGAAGUAGCAGCACCAUUAGCACUUGCACAAACUCUCAAAUGUCUGCUUCUCUUGUUACUAUUACAUACUAAAAUGGGGUGCUUCUGCAAUCCAUGCUGCACACCUCCUCUCCAUAACUGGUUCAAUCAACAAAAUAUCAACACACAAAAAAUUAAAAAAAGAAAAAGAUUCAUUCUUGGAUCAACUCUGGGUGGUGGAAGAAGUUGGUUGGUUGCUGAAUUAGAAUGGUGGAAGAAACCAUUCCUAAAAAUUUAGUGGAAUUUGAGUAUAGAAACUAUUGUUUUAUAUGGAAAUUUGGGUUCUUGAAAACGUUAUCCACUUUACUGUCAGCAAAACAACUGAGAUAGAAUGCUAGGGGUUUUUCCGGGGUUUAUUAGUACUACUUUUUUUCCUAUUUUAUUCCAUACUGCUAAUUAAUUUCUAGGGAAUUUUAUAUACGUAAUUUUUUAUUUACAGUUGAUACCUGAAGUGAGGGGAUAAAAGAAUAGUUGACCGAAUGAGGUUUUAAAAUGUGUUGUCACGGUGGUCCUCAAAAGAAUCGAUGAUGUCGAAACAACACUUCCACUGUGAAAUUGGUGGACGUACAUAUCCAUCAUUAUAUAAAGGAUAAAAUAUUGCACGUACAAAUUUACAUUCACAUUGAUGAAUCAUAUCUUUCAAAUCGUAGUUGUUUUCUAUCACAUCAUUUUGAGCACAGUUUUAUCACAACGUUGCUCUAAGAACCGUGUUCAAUUAACUGACAUGAUCAAAACCAAAAAUUCACUUCUCAAUAAUUAACCCUUCACAGUUUAACAGUAAUAAUUUCAUGAUUUAGUCCCCAAAUUUUUGACGGCAUAAACUCAUUUGGAUAUGAAAUCUCUUUCGUAUUUUUCCUUUACAUUACUAUCAAGAAAUCAUAUGAGGGAUAAUAAAGGAGCUAUCAUCCUCCUGGAUUUGCAAAGAAAAUGGUACUUAUUUAUACUAAUGUAUUGUGCAAAGCAUAGUCGUUCAAAUCAUCUGAAAAGAUCAAAGGAUUUAUACAUCUCAUUCCAACUAAUUUAGGACCAAGACUCAGCUGAUCAACAAAUAUAUCAAUGUUGGACAACAUUCAUUCAUCAGACCAAUAUCUGUUAUGGGGCAACUGCAGUGAUUUUCAGGCCACGCACCGAAAAAUCAAGAACUCAUCCAAUUUUUGCAGAGACCUGACUGAAGAAUUUCGACCAUUUCCACCACCAACUCCACUAUAGUAUCACAUACAAGAUUAUUACCAUAUGACAUGACAUAUUUCUGAGUCUCCAAAAUGAAUGACCAAAUCAUCAACAUCGAAGACGACGAAGGAAACAAUCUGGCUCAACAAGAUCACUAUACACUAUUCACUAGGUAGCUGUAUCCUUUCAGCAGUGUAGGGACCGGAUAACUCUACCACAAGGGUUUAGGCAGAAGGAAGAAACCACCCAACUAUUUUGCCUCUUUUUCAGAUUUGAACCUCAGUCUCCCAUGGACUUUACUCCAACUUCAUCUACUAGGCCAUAUCCUCCAAAGACAAAUAUCUCUACGAAGGAAGAGAAGAAAAACAAAGAGAACUAGAGGUCCUAUAACAAGAAAGCGCCAGUGCUCCAGAAUUAAACUUACUCAUAAAUCACAUAGCUUCAGACAAACAAGUAGUCCUCCUGGUCAAAUUUAUUGUAAAAUUUACCACGUGCAAAAGGAAAUUAAAGUAAGCAACAAAUACGAGUUCAUUAACAACAUCUAGAAGUUCUUAAAACUACAACAGAAACCAAAGGUUAACACAAGUGAUGUCCAUCUAAGUCACAGCUACACCAAGAAGAAUAAACUAAUAAAAACUUCUACCUUAUCUAUGCAAAAUAGGAAAAAUAGAGAAAUCAGCUCUAAACACAUUAAAGAGGUACUGAUGUCAACUUCAACAGAGAGAAGUCCCAUGUAGCUAGAUGACAAAAAUAACCACUGGUGUCUCCAUUUAGUGUGAAAUGAAUGAGCUAAGGACAUAGGGAACUCAAGCCUGCAUCAGAAAUGUGCUUCUGUCCAAAGGUUAAAUUACGUCAAGUGAAGCUGGUUCUCCUAGAAACUUUUUUGCACAGCUAAUGAAACUAAAACCCAAAGAAUGUCCAGUUCAUCUUUUGCUUAAUGUGCAAAUGUUUAAGAACACAGAGAUGCCUGGAAACUAAGAGAGGGCUAUAUAAAAGAGACAAGUCUCAUCAAGUUUCAAGCUUUGUGUACAACGAGCAAGGAGUCAUAAUAAGCAUACUCUUCUACUGGUUCCUGUAAGUAUUUUCAAACCAGCUAUGCAUAUUUCUGUAUUUGCCUCCUCCUUUAAGUGUUGCCCAUUAUUCCCUUUAUCCACAAGAUUCAAAAUUCCGCUCCAUUGUCUUGGUCUUAUGAUUAGAUAAGUUACUACAAUUCAAACUUUUAGAGACAAUGAAGAUUUUUGCAGCAUAUUUAUGCUAUUUUGUGCUUCUGAGUUCUGCUCAAAAUAUCCAGCAUCACCAUACACUUCCAGCCACCAAACAGCCAAUGGUGGUGAGAGAGACAGGUUCUUAUGCAACAAACCUGUUUACAACCUCACAGGCACUUAGAAGUGCAUCUAAUUAACAACUGAACUAAAAACUACAAUUGUGGUGAGGGGACAGGAUACUGAAGGUAUGUAACACAUUCCAAGCUUGAUGGUUAGUCAAACAGACAUGUACAUUUCAAUGGUGAAAGAUAAUAAAACACUUGUAAAGCAUUUUCAAAGAUUAAACCUCUGAUGAUAAAGAAAGUGAAAUUGAACAAAAUAGAGGAGCAAAAACAGUAUGACAUAACUAUCCAUAAUAGGCAUAGAAAAAUAAACAAAGGUAUGCAGAGCAUUAUGCAAGAACAAAAAUAGACAAUAUGACUAUCAGUAAAAAGCUAGUACUGAAAAUGGGCAUUGAAGCUAUAAACAUUAGUUUAUUAGACUAAAAUCUGAUAUUCUCUACAAUAUGACGGAGGAAAUCUGCGCAAAUUUAACUGAUAAUUCAAGAAUGCAAUGCCUAGCAACACAAUUCGACACUGCCAACUUGAGUGAGCUCGUAAUUCAGAAGUGCAAUUACAAUGAUUCAUGCAAAUACUGUAAAAUUGCUCAUUUUUCAGUUCAUUUUAAUCUUCUCCUACAAGAUAGACAGUAGCACCAGUACAACACAAAUAGCAUUAGCCACGAAUAGUCUCACUCAUCAUUAUCCAAAUUAGUUACCUUCUACUCUCUAUUCAAUCCAAUUUGAGAUUAUACCAUCCAACAAAACAACCACUUCCUCAUUUCCCUUAUCACCAUUCUCAACGUCCUUCAAAGCUUCAUUCACCUCUUGAGCCUCCCUAAUCCUAGCCUCCCUCAAAAGACCUCUAUACACCCACAUCCUCACCUCAUCCCCAGCCUUCAACUUCCCAACUACCAUCAUCCUCAAAACCUUCAACCCCUCCACAACCAUAUCACUCUUGCAAAACCCAUUCACCAAAAUAGCACACAACCCAUAAUCCACAACACAAGGGAAAUCAUCUCUUGACACCCAAUGAAAAAUCUUUAAAGCUUUCUUACCCUCCCUUUCCCUAAAAUACAAAGAAACCAACAUUUUACAAAUGGGUAAUAAAAACGAUUGGGUCUUUGGGUUAUACUUAAGGCGGUUAAGGAAGUACAUGGGUUGUGUAAGGUCGGGUUCAAGAGAAAGUCUAUGAAUGAAAAUGGAAAGAGAGAGUGAUUCCAAAGAUGGGUUAGUUAGAAAAGCUGUAGUGAUGAGAUUAGCAGCUUCUUUGAGGUGAUUAGAAGAGCAUAAACGUGGGAUUAGUAGAUUGAUUUGUGUUAACUCUUCUUGAGUUAGAGAAGUUGAUGCAGUUGUGGGUGCUAUUUGGGUAUCAGAAGGAGUAGAAGAAGAAGAUGAUGUGAAAUGCAAAGAACGUGAGAGAAGGGAUGGUGAAGAAAGGAAACGUAGUCUUUGAAUUGACCUCAUGGUUCUUGAUGGAACUGAACUGAUUACAGAUUAUGAUGGAGCAACCAUUAAUGGUGUUAUUGGUGAUAGAAAUACUAGAAACAAUUUCUAGUGGAGAUAAUUUUGAUUAUUUUGAGAAGACUUCUCAUUUCAUUUUACUCGUCUUAAAUUUUUUAUUUUAUAUCUUUUUUUAUUUACAGAAAAGGAUUAAAAAUACCUUUUCAAUAUUAAAAUUAAAUAAAAAAUACCCCUAUUAAAUUAUUGGGUCAAAAAUAUCCUUCAAAUAUUAAAAAUAAUUUAAAAAUACCCUUCCAUCCACCUUUAUAGCUCAAAAACGAUUUUUAAAAAUUAUAAUUAAAAAUUCAAAACAUGGUCAAAAAUACCCUUUAAGUAUUGAAAUUAGUUCAAAAAUAUCAUUCAUCCACCUUUAUGACUUAAAAAUACCCUUACAAUUAACGAUUUUCUUAAAUCAUAAAUAAUUUUUUUAAUAUACGUGGCAACUUUCACUUAGUUGAAACUAAAUUAAUUAAAAUGUUAUAUUCAAUCCGGCCUCAACUCAAGCUUUAAGAUGGGAUGGAUGAUUUUGAGUGGUAUAAGCUUUGUAAUUUAUUUUCUCUAUUUUGAUCAAGAAAGUUAUUUUUCUUAGUUUGAAAUUUAGAAUAAAUAUAUUUUUUAGGAAAAAUAUUUUUCAAAAUUUUUAGUCAAAUGAACAUUUUUUGUUCGCACUGAGCCCACCCUUAAAAGCUUGUAAUGAUUAGGUGAUACUUUUUUCUGGUAGUUCUAGUGUCGACAUAAGAGAUCAUGAUUAAUCAAAGUUUUACAUCAAAAUCUCUUACUUAUUUUUUUUCCACAAAUGACCUUAAAUAAUUAAUUAUCAUUUAACUCGUGUGGAAUUGAUAUAUAUUAUAUUCUUCGUUAUACAAUUUCCUAUUAUUUUAAUUCUCACCUGAAAUAUUAUACCAGUAGAUUGUGAUGAAUCUUUAUAAAGGGAAGAGAAUGUACUCAUUAGUUAUAUUCCCUGCCCCAGAAAAAGUAACAUGCAUCUUUAAGGUUAGAUUUUUACCAUAUUAUAGAACAGUAAUGUCAAAUAAUGAUACUGUAUAUCCUCUAUUUUAAUUUAUUUAUUUUAAUUAUUAUUUACAUAAAAUACUUUAAAUUAAUAAUUAUAUUAUAUAUUUUAAUAGUGCAAUUAUUUUAUGAACAUAAUUUUUAAUAUAUAAAUUUUAUUAUAAAAAAUUAAAAAUUUUAUAUUUAAAUUCACAUUAAAUAUUAAUUAGCUGUAUCAUUAUACUUCGAUAAAAAAAGAAACAAAGGAAUGGAUAAUAGUUACAAGAUUUGACAUUUGCAUGAAAGAGUAAAAUUACUGAAAGUACUGGUAUUUUAUUUACUAUAGAUAUUCUCCAUAAGCAAGAAUUAAAAAAUGCUUUCACAAAGUUUAUAUUGUCUCGUUUUGACGCUAUAUUAAAGCCUAACAUUAUUGACGUUGGGACAACCUUUAUACGUUUUGGAUCGGGUAGCUUGAGUUGGGGUUGGAUUGGAUAUCACAUUUUAAUUAAUUUAGUUUCAACCAAGUGAAAAGUGCCACGUAUUUUUUUUUAUAAAAAUUAUUUAUGAUUUAAGAAAAUCGUUAGUUGCAAGGGUAUUUUUGAGCCAUAAAGGUUGAUAGAUGAUAUUUUUUAACCAAUUUCAAUACUUAAAGGGUAUUUCUGACUCUUUUUUGAAUUUUUAAUUAUGAUUUUUAAAAACCGUUAGUUGCAAGGGUAUUUUUGAGCCUUAAAGGUGGAUGGAGGGGUAGUUUUGAACCAUUUUCAAUACUUGAAGCGCAUUUUUGGCCCAAUAAGUUAACGAAGGGUAUUUUUUAUCUAAUUUCAAUACUUGAAGGGUAUUUCUAACCCUUUUCCAUUUUACUUAUCAAGACAAGACAAUUUUUUUCCAUUAUACCCAUAGUGUAAUUAAUUAUUCCUUAUUAUUAGCAUUCUUAAAAAAUGUUGCAAAGAUAAGUACCAUUAAGAAUACACCAUUAAAAAUAUAAAUAGUGCUUUGGUAUUAGUCAUCUAUCAAUGUUGGAACUAACAACAAGACACAAUUAAGAGAGGCAAAAUGAUAAAAUUACAUUACCAAUCAUUAUUUUCUUAAUAGUUGUGUCGUCCCAAUGUGGGACGGGUAAAGUGGGACGGAGGAAGUAUUAGAUAAAAUAAUGGUGAUCUCUAAAUAUUAAUUGGAAAAAUAAGAUAAUUUUAUUUAAAAAAUGACAUUUAUUCCUUCCCUAUUUGCUUUGCAAUUUUAGUUGGAAAAUACUAAAAUUUAUGCUAUUUUAUCAUCCUAAAAACAAUUAAAGCAAAGGAUACAAUUGAAUGUGUAAUUAAUUUGAUGUACAAACGCUAAUGUUUGAAUUGUCGUGUUAUAAUUUUUCUUCAGUUGUCGAUUGAAGCAACCAUCUAACUUAUGUAUAGAUGGUUCCUAAUACUAUUAAUCAGAGGCUGAAUCAAAAUUUAAAUUAUGUGGUUCUAAAAUUAAAGAAGAGAGGCCUUAUAGUGGUUCAUCUAUCAUUGGGUCAAGCUAUAUUAUUUGUCAAUGAGUUCGCACUAUAUAAAUAUGUACAUAUAUUCAGAAUUUAAUAGUAUAAAUAUAGAAUCUACGUAAAAGUUAUUGAAUUCACCCGAACCCCCUCAAAAUACUGUAGUUCCGCCCCUGCUCCUGAUAUACCUUCUAGGCUAUAAAUAUAAUGUAAUUUCUUUUUUUCUCUAAAAAAUGGAAGAAUCUAUUAUUAGAUUUUACGGUCAUUAAUUUUGCAAUGAGAAGUACGAGACACCGUGAAGCUAGUGUUACUCUCUAAAACAUUUUCUAGCUCACCAAUAUGUUGUCUUUCAACUUAGCAAAAUAGCUUAGGAUACAGAUUUUGUAAAUAUAUUUUGAAUUUUAAUUGCUAUUGAUAAACUAUGUAUACAAUUUUCUUUAAUUAUUCUAAACAUUUUUUUUCGGCCAUUGUCUUACUAUUCAAUGUCAUUAAUAUAUUACUAGUUUAGUGUACGUGCGUUGCACGUGUAUCAAAUGUUUAAUAAUAAUAUUAUAUAAAAACAUUGCUAAAAAAUCACUAAAGAUAAAAAUUAGAUUUAAAUAGUUUACCUGGUUAUUUAUUCUAGAGACGUAGUUGAAGGUAGAUGAUCGGGAUCCGGAUUGAAAGUUAAGUCAACCCUGACUCGAAAUGCUAAACCUAGGAUCCAACCUUAAGUCGAGACCCGACUCUAAACCCUGAUUCGAGCCCUGAAUCCUAGCAUUUGACCUCGACUUGGUACUGUGGUCUUGACCCAACCCAACCUCGAUUCAAGAACAACUUUCGAUAUUAACUUGGGAUCCAACCACAAAAAAAAGCAAGAUCCGAUCUUGACCAGACUCCGGACCCUGGGUCUGACACUAAUCUUGACCUCGAUCUACGACCUAACUCUCAAUUAUCAACCCAUACUCACGGUCCAACCUCAAUCAAGAGUCAGGGUUAGGCAUUGAGUCGGGUGUCGAGGUUGGUCUUAUAUUAAGAGUCGAAUCUUAAAUUAGGAAUCGGGGUUGAGUUCCAACUUAGGAGUCAAAGUCGUAUAAUAUGUUGAGAGUUGAGGCUAGGUUUAUUUUGGAAUUAGGAGUUAGAUUCGGGUCACAAAUCGAGGGUCGGAGUUCGGUCCCUCAUCGGGAUUGAGGUUGGGGUCUUACGACCUAGGUUGGGAGUUGGAUCCCAAGUCGGGUGCAAAGUCGAGUCAAGUCUAGUGUCAGGAGUCGGCUCUCAAGAGACGAAGUUGGGAGUCUAGAGUCGAGGUUGAGUUCUGUAUCAAGAGUCAGAUUAGAAAUCUAGAGUCGGGGUCGUGUCCCAAGUUGAGAAUUGGGUCAGAGUUGGUUCUCGAGUUUGGAGUCAGGGUUAGGUCAGAGUUGAGAGUUGUGGUCAAAUCUUGGGAUUAUACGUGUUAGGUCCAACGUUAGGGUCAGGUCUAAGUUUGGGAGUCAAAGUCGAGUCCAGAUUGAGAGUUAAGGAAAUAGAGCCCGGGUCGAUAGUCAAAUCAUGAGUUGGUACCGAGAUCAGGUUUGAAAGUCGAGUCCUGGGUUGAGGUCAGAUCUUGAAUCUCAGGUCUAGGGUCGGGAGUCAGAUCUUUGAUUGGGUCGAGAGUCAAGUCUUGAGUUUAGGACUUGUAUCUCGGGUUGCGAUGGAGAGUCGAUUCUCGUGUUGGUUCAGGUAGUCGAGGGCUCAGGUUGGGUCCCGUAUCAUUAGUAUUUUUUCGUGUUAUACCUAAAUGUUCUUGGGACGAUAAAUUUUUCUUACUAACCAAAAAACAAAAAAUAAGUAAGAAAAUCAUUUAUUUUUCAAGAAAAUAUUUUUUAGAAAAAUAUUUUCCUUUGUACCAAACACACCCUAGGAAUAGAUCUAGGUUCUCUUAAAAAUUAUUCACUUUGUGUCUCCGACAAAUAGCUUUCAUUAUAUUUAAAUUUAUAUAAAUAUUUUUUAAAAUUAUAUCCGUAUUGAUAUGGGAUAAAAUAAAGGCUUUUUGUACAAAUAUUAUAUUAAAAUAUUGAAUUAAAGCUAUUAAAUAAAAAAAUAUAUUCCACACAUGAGUGUUGAUUCUAUAUACUUAAUUCAAUAAAAUAACCAAUUGCGUCCUAAAAAUUCUCAAUAUAUUAAACUAAAAUUUAUUUUAAUUUUAUAAUUCUAUCAUUUUAAACACACAAGUCAUCAUAUGCUUUUCUCAAUUAAUCAAUUUCAAGAUUUAGAUAUUAAAUAUUCCCUUGCAAUGCUUGUGUUGAGAGCAUAAUGCUAUAUCUUUAAUAUGUGAGGUACUAUAUUAUUUUUCCUUUCAUAUGAUUCGGAGUAUUAUCAUGAUGCACUCUCAAUCCAACAUAGGAAACUAAUGUUCCAUCAUCCUUAAGAAUUGUGCAUUCUACCUGAUCAAACAUCAUCAACUAAUAUGAGAAUUUUUACUUUUUAAGUGAAAAUUAAAAGUUUUAGCUCUUCAUUAAUAUAAAUAAAUUUUAAAAAAAAUUAAUUUAAAAGACUCUUUUCAAUUUUGAUAUUCAAACCAAGAAUACAAUCCUCUUGACGGAAGUUACAGUUGGUGGCAGCAAGAGCAUUUAUGGUGGAAAUUAUAUUUACUUUGUGAAACUUUACUCUAUAUCUUUUUCUUAUAGUCCGACUCAUUUAUCUUGACUACCUUGUUUAAUGAUUUGCAAAAUGUUGUAAUACAUUCCUGUAACAACGUAUAAUGGUUAUAAAAUCUUAAUCAGUUAGAUGAUUGCAUCUUCUGUUGCUUUAUGUCAAUUCGAACAAGUACUUAUGAAGUUGGAUUUUGUUAUAAAGUUGAGUGUUUCCUUGGGCUUUGUUUCAAAUUUCUCAAUCAAUGUGAUAAUAACAAUGAGAGUUGUAUGAAAAGCUGUAUUGAAUACUAUUGCACUAUAGGGAAAACUUAAGAAAAGCAUUAAUUUGCUCUAAGAAAUCAUGGCGACAAAGAAAGUGUUGUUCAUGAUAGAUGAUAUUAGUUUUAACAUAAAUACUUAUUUAAUGAAUCUAACAAAAUUAUACAUAUAAAUAAUUAAAAUUUAGUUCACUAAAUAUAACUUAAGAAUAUUAAAACAAGAUAAUUAUGAAGCAAAAUUAUGCAUAGCUCUCUCGACACAGUUCCUUGAAAAUUGUCAUAAAAAACACGAUUCACAUCAGAGUAUGUGUCAUCCACUUUUGAUUCCCUCACUACCAACUCAUAUCUUUGUUGUCUGGGAUCCCCCACUUGAGUCACAGAAUUAGCAUAAGCAAUGAAACCAAAUGUACUAGUAGAGUCCAACAAUAUUAGUGCUUCGUGUUCACUGUAUAAUCGAUCAGAGCCUUGAACUUGGAACUUAUUACAUAAUCAUUGUUCGUGUUCACUGUAUAAUCGUAGAAUAUGAAAACUUUUGUAAGGAUUCAAAAUGUUUGAAGCAUAUAAAAGUUUAUGGGAAACUUAUUUAUAAUCUUUAUAUUACAUAAGUUUAUAACAUGAAAAUCAUUGAAACUCUUGGAGAGUUUUCAAGAGCAAUAGAUUAUUUGCUGAAAUGAGAAAUAUAACAAUUUGAAUUGGUUAUGAAGUACCAUAUCUUAGUGCAAUUGGUGCACUCAUGUAUCUUGCAAUUACUAUAAGGCUUGAUAUAGCCUUUUCAGUUAAUUUGUUAGCAAGAUUGUAAUCCCGAUCUUAUUGGCCAUGCUAAUAUUGGGUACUUGUCUGAACCGUAUAAAUCUCGAUCUCAAAUAUGCAAUGUGUUCACAUGUGGGGAUAUGUAACACCCCGUAUUCAAAUACAUAUAUUGGCGUAUUCAAGUACGUGUAUUGGUCUUAUUUAUAUGGAAUUAAUUUUGUUUAAUUUUAUUUAUACCGGAAUUUGCCCGUCGAUGGUUCCAUAUGAAGGUUAUUGAAUAAGCUUUCCAACGAUAUAAAGAUUUCCAAAAACGGAUAGGUUUCGGAUAUAAUCGAGCACGUUCUAAACUAUAAAACGGUGGCCGGGAAAUUACGUGCAUUAGUCAUUGUUAUAUGUGUUGGGGUAUAUGUAUUGAUCCUAAGUUAGGUAUAUAUGAGUUUAAGUAUGAGUAUUGAUUAUUUUGAGAUGGUUUCAAGUGUAUAGUUUGAUUAUAGGUGUAUAGGAAUCGACUUUAUUUAUAUCGGAAUUUUCCCGUCGAUGGUUCCAUACGAAGGUUAUUGAAUAAGCUUUCCAACGAUAUAAAGAUUUCCAAAAACGGAUAAGUUUCGGAUAUAAGCGAGCUCGUUCGAAACUUUAAAACGGUGGCCGGGAUGUGAACAGUAAAAUGUGCAGGAAACUACUGAGGCCUGCCAGUUUUUUGGGUCAACUUUGAACGAUCAUAACUCCCUCAAUAUAAUGAACUGGUUGAGCUACCAUAUAUCAAAAGAAAGAUCUUUGAGUCUUCUUUCCAAUGAAAUUGGUUUCAUCCAAAUCCAACAUCUGAGUAAGGAGUUAUACUCGUUUUACUUCAGCCUCUCAAAACAGAUUUUUAGGGUCAACUUCAAACGAUCAUAACUACUUGUACAGGACGAACUGGGUGGAUUAAUUUAUAUUAAAUGAAAUACCUUUGAAUUAUCUUUCUAACGAUACCAAUUUCACCCAAAUCCGAUAUCGGAGCAAAGAGUUAUGGCCGAUUUACUUUAGCCUAUCAAAACAGUCCACCAUGGACAGAUUCGGAUUUACUUAAAUUUUUAAGGGCAAUAUGGUCAUUUUCCAUCACCUCAUGGACGAAAAUUGGUCAUUAUAUACAUAUACUUAGCCUUAUAUCCACCAUUUAUCAUCCAAAUCAUUGAAGAAUAAGAAACCCUAGCCUAAGUUCAACUCCAAUUAUCUUGUGAUUCAACCGUAGAAAAUCCAAAUUGAUUCCGUAGUUGUGUUCACCGUCUCAAGGGCUUCGAGAAGCACCCCUUAUUUGUGCCAACAGGACUUCGAAAUCAAAAGGGCCAUUUUUUUGGUAAGGAUGUAAAUUAUGUUGGUGUUAUUUAUAUGGAUAUGUAUAUAUAUAUAUAUGCAUGUGAGCAUAAGAAGUAUGUUAUUUGAUUGUUGUUGAAAGAUGAUUGGAAAUGAUGUUGGAUUAUUCUUGUGCAUGGUUGGAUUAUGUUAAAUUGUGAAGGAAUUUGGGGUGAUGAUGUGGUAUUGAUGAUGUGGUAUUGAAAUGAUGAUUAUAUAUAUAUACACACAUAAACCUAUUGUUCAAGUUGGUUUUUGGAAUGUUUUGCAAAUAUUGGUAGUAUGGAAUUAUGGAAGAGAAUUGUGGUGUUGGGUUGCUAAUACUAGAUGCCAAACAUUUCAUUGUAGAUAAGUGAUUUGUAAAGGCGGGAAGUUGUGUUGAAUUGGUAUCUGAAUCUACAACGAGGUAUGUAAAGCAUACUCUAACAAUGUUCUUUGGCAUGAAAACACCAAUGUUCCAUCAAGUAAGAUUCCGAGGUUGUCCAAAAACAUGUAUUGUUCUACGUUACCAACGAAGUUGUUUCCAUUCUAUAAAGUGUCAAAAUGUUUCAUUGAUAUACCAAAAGGCUCUUAUUUCAUUGUUGUGAUAUUGAUGAUUCUGAAACACAUUGUUGAUGUACCAAUGAGUCUUUAUUACAUCGUUAUUGUAUAGAAGGUCUAUUACUUGGUUCCUAUUGAUGUAUCAUUGUUUCAAAGUAUCAAAAAUGUGGUGGCGACCGAAAUAACAAUCUCAAAGAUUAAUUGAACUAAGUGAUGGGAGUUCUCUCUUAUCGGGUGGUAUCCCAGGGGCAUAAGCCUAGCAUGGGUCGAUCCCUAUUUCAUGUGUUUAUGGGUGGUAUCCCAGGGGCAUAAGCCUAGCAUGGGUCGAUCCCAGUUGAUAUGUACUGGAGGCAUCCUAAUGGUCACAGUACAGUACAGUAAUGAUUACAAAGACGAUAAGAACGAAGGUAAAGUGAUUGAAUAAAUACAAUGUACAGGUUGUCACAAGUUCUAGUAAGUGUGGUCCACUCCUAUUACGACUUAUUCACUUGUUUCUGAUUUCUAUUGAGCUCCUAUAUCAUAUGUGAUUAUUUACAGCUUUACAUACUCAGUACAUAUUUCGUACUGACGUCCCUCACGGGGGACCUGCAUUUCAUGCUGCAGGCACAGGUGCUUCAGCUCAUUCACAGCAUACAUAGGAGCCAGGUCAUACAGCUCUUGUUGGUGAGCUCCAGUUUGCUUCGGAGCUUUCCGAGUCGGUCCUUUAUGUUUUGUUAUUGUACAGGAGUCAUGUGUGGGCGGGGGGUUUGUCCCGACCCUAGUUAUGUCAUGUAUAUCCUAGAGGCUUUGUAGACAUAAGGAAGGGUAAAGUCAUGGAAGUUUAUAUAGUGAUGUUAUAUUUGUAUAUGUGGUGGCCCCGACGGCCAAGUAUUAUAUAUAUAUAUAUUUGUGCGUGUUGUGCUGAUACAGGUAAUUAGACCCUUCUAUAUGCAACGAAGUGCUGUCCAAAUUUUUGGUGACAUGUAAGUGAAAGUACAGGUAUUUGAACGGGUUCUCCCGGGCCUUCUCGGUUUCGGGUGUCAGUCCGGCCCGAUGGGAUUUUGGGGCGUGACAGGAUACUGUCAUAUCUUGGAGAUAUACAAAGCAGUCUAUCUAUCCACUUCAAUGAACCAUUCUGAGAUAAUAGAAUGUGUAUGACUGAGAUCCAUGAUACAUCUCAUUCGAGAAUAAUAUCGCUUGAAAUAUGACAAAGUAUCCACGAUUUUAUACGAAAAUAAUCCAGCAUGCAUAACACAACUUAAAAGAGGAUUCAUAAAAGGAGAUAGAACGAAGCACACUUCAUCAAAGUCUUUCUAUACACAUGAGUUACAAAAGAAUGGUGAUAUUAACGUGCAACAGAUUCAUUCGAGUGACAAUAUCACUGAUUUAUUCACCAAGUCUCUUUCAACUGCAACUUUCAAGAAGAUGGUGCACAAGAUCGGAAUGCAAAGAUUCAAGGAUGUUCUCAUUAGGGAGAGUUAAUACGCGUUGUAAUCUUUUUUCCUUACGAGGUUUUGUCCCACAGAGUUUUCCUUGUAAGGUUUUUAAUGAGGCAACCUAUAUGUGUAUGAUUAGAGAUGUGUACUCUUUUUCCUUCACUAAAUUUUUUUUCCUACUAAAUUUUUUCUAAUAUGAUUUUAACGAGGCACAUUAUCUUUUUUUUUUCUACUGGUUUUUUUCUAGUAAGGUUUUAACAAGGCACAUUAUCUAUCAAUUAGACAUUCAGGAGGGAGUGUUAUAAAUGUAUUUACAUUAUAAUGAAUGUCUAUCAAGAUCUAAAUGAUAUCUAUUAGGAUUUGAAGCAUUUGUCUUUUACUCACACUAGGAGUAACUUUUCCUUAUAAAUAGAAGGGCUCCUUCAUUGUAAAUUAAUCCCGCAAGAAUCCCUCAACAGAAAUAACAAUUACUCUCUAUAUUCUCUUUAUUCUUAGUUAUUUCAUAACACUUUGUGAUUUCAACUUCACUUAAAAUAAUAAUGAAUUGUGAAAUGCAUUUUUAAAAAUUAUCUAAAAAUAAUUUAAAAAAAAAAAAGAAAAGAAAAAAGUUCUCAUUUUUAGAAGAAAUAUUUUAGAACUUUAAACUAAACAACUCAAACUUUAUAUUAAUAAAUAAAGUUUUAACAACAAUAUCCAAAGUUAUGCAUUGCAAAUAAAUGACUAAUAUCUUAUUAACUAAAACUAAUAUUUACUUUUAUUAAUAAACAUAUUAAUAUGUGAAGUUAAAUGUUAUGUAUUUUUUAAAAAUACUAUACCAAAUAGUAUUUUUGUAUGUAUGUCUAUAUAUACAAGAUUCGUAUUAAAAUUUUACUUUAUGCCACUAAUUUUAUUGAGAUGAGAAGCCUAGCCUUUGCCUAAGUAAUUAUUACAAUUUGCAUAAAGCUAUGUGAAUGUGUUAUUUAUUAACCCGUAUCUCAUACAUAGCCACUUAUUGUGGUAUGGAGGUGCAUUAUCAUAACUGGUUUCGGCUCAUACAUAACAAUUAUCACUUGAUUCCUCUUUAUUAAAGAAGUAUCAUAACUGGUUUCGGCUCAUACAUAACAAUUAUCACUUGAUUCCUCUUUAUUAAAGAAGAAAGGAAGAGGACUUAUACACUCCAUAGGCGCCUCAAGUGAAGGGCAUUGAAGACAUUUUGCACUCUAAAGCUACACUCAAGAAGUGCUUUUUGGGAAUUUCAGACAAGAAAGUAGGAGAACUUAUACACUCCAUACACCUGAAGUGAAGGGCAUUGAAAACAUUUUGCAUAGCUACACUCAAGAGGCGUUUGGGAGUUUCAUUAAGGACAAUUAAGUCUUAUGUAAUAGUAUAAAUACAUAUUUUAACUCUUAUUUUCUUUAGUUUUGAGAUAAUGAAUUGAGUGACUUUUUAGAUUGUAAUUUUAGUGAUAGAUUGCAGUCUUCCUCUUCUCCUUAAGAGAGAGGGAAACCGAAAUUGAAUAUUGAAUAAGGAGAAGGAAAAUCGAAAUUGAAUAUUGAAUGCAAUUGAAAAAGGAUUUAACUUGUAUUGAAUAUUUGGUAAGAAAGGUGUGCUUGAGGAAGUGUGAGUCCUUUGGGUCACCUAAGAGAGUAGUUUGAUCUUACAUUGGUGAUGUGUGUUUGAAGGUUUGAUACACCUUCUAGUGCUAUUCAUUAGUAGAAGUGAGGGUCUCUACUAUCUUUACUUUAUGCAUCUCUUCUUCAUCUCUUUUCUUCUAUGUGUGUUGUUUUUCCUUUCGUGUGUUUGCUGAUUUUUGCCUUCUCUUUGUCUGCUCACUGUUCAGCAUAUUCUCUUUGUUGUAUUCAUUCAAACUUCUCUUUGUCAAUCAGUUUUAGUAUUUUACACAUUGAUAGGAAAGCUUCCUCAAACAUGAGAUCUCUUACUCUUGUCUCAUCUUUCAGAAACAAUUGGCGUCUGCUGUUGUUCCGAGUGUCAAAAGAAAAAAGUAGUUUAAGUUCUUGAUACUGGUCCCUGCUGAUGGAUAUACUUAACCUGUUGUCUAACUUAUUAGUACAACUUUUUAUGCAUGAUUUUUGCAUUCACAUCAUAAACAUUUGUGGAUGGCUUCUGGCUACAUGGAUUCUACUCUUAUGAGAUCAAUUCAAUUAAAUUUUGAUUUUAUAUACAUUUAUCAUUUGAUAGGAUGCCUUUGCCUUCAUGUUUAUACCCCACACUCUUAGCGAAGACCUACAUUUUGUCUUGACAGGGAUGGUGCUAGCUAACGUGAGAGGGAUCUACGUUAUACAAAAUACUUCGGUCUGAUAUAUGUGGACUUCAAGAAUGGGCUAAACCGACAUCUGAAAUCUUCUACUUACUGGUUCAUGAGAUUCUUGAAAGGUGGACAAGUUAAACAUGUUUAACUAACUUCUGGUGUUAUGGAGUCGGCAGCUUAUAUAUGUAUUUGCCUUUCUUUAUACUACUUUUGAGGCUUUUAUAUAAACAACUUCAUUGUUUUAUGAUGGUGUGCAUCAUGACUUCUCUUGUUUUGCUUCAGUUGAGUUGUCCAAUUUCAAUGUAAAACGACUAUUUCCUGUUCUUCUUCACAUGAAUAACACCUACACCACAGAUUAAUGAAGAUAAUAAUAAUAAUUAACUAAUAGUAGUAGAAGUUUUUAUAGUAAUAGUAGUACAUAAUAUGUGUAGCAGUAGAAAUAACAAUACCAAUAAAUACCGAAAUCUUAAUCUUCUCUUAAGCCACCACAAGGGGAUUUAAAAAAACAUAAGCUUAAUGUAUUCUAAGGGCCUCCAGAUGAGUACCUCCGCCAGAAAAUGAAAGCAUUUAUUGAAGCACCAAGAGAAAAGAGCAAACAAAUAUCAAAGAUCUACCUAAGGAAUAAAUCCAGUUCUCCAGCUACGUAGAAAAGAAAUAAGGUUACUUAUGCUCCUGUAUUUCAUGAUGAAAUUUUGAAGAUGAAUUUCACUUGACAGAUUGAUCAUAGUUUCUUCUUUCAUAUCUGGAAUAAAUUAUUUUUCACACAUAAUGAACAUGAACAAUAUAAAGGAAAUUUCAACUUCUCAAUCAUAAAUUAAAUAAAAUGUCAUGCUAACGAUAGAAAGUAAUUUUUCAUAGAUAGUAAAUUACGAUUCAAAUGAGUUAGUGAUGAAUUUUCCUAUUGAAAAAAGCAAAAGAGUAAUGAUAAAGUGUAGAGUCCAUAUAAAAUAUUUUUUCAUCUAAUUAUAAAAAGAAAUUCGACUUACAAGAUAUUAAGUACUAAACAGAAAUAUAAUUCACAUAUAUGCUCAGUUACAUCCUAUGUUCACAGAUUAUAGUCAUGUUUCCAAAUGAGAGCUUGCUUUGCGACCGUUGGGAAGAACUUUUCCAGAGAGAAUAGCAUUAGAUUUGCCCCUAAUUUAGUUUAUCAUGCUGCUUAGGACUUUUGCUAAAUAACAUAACAAACUCCCAAUGAAUCCCUUUCUUGAAGCAUAAAAGGGAUAAUAGUCCGAAAAAUACUUAUAUUUUGCUUAAAUUUGCAGUUGCGCAUACUGAACUUAUUUUAAAAAUGAAAUUAUUUGCUCCCCAGAUACUGAGGUGGCAACGUGAAUGCACACUCUCUUUGAGAGACUGAAAACGAAAAUUAUAUAUUAAAACUUUAUUUUUAAUAUUUUUAUACAUAAAUAUAUAUAAUUUCAAUUUAUUUUUUUUUAUUCAGUUUCUUUCUUCUUCUUUUCUCUCACAAAACUAAAAAGCUUCAAAAUUCAUCAAUGUUGUCUAAAAUUAAUCUCACAUCUUCUUCAUCGCCAACGAAUCUCAUCAAUUUCAUUUUCUUUUUUCUUUCAACAUAACACAUUUGCCAUGCUAGCUUUUGAUUAUUUUUUAUUUUAAUUUUCUUUUUCCUAUUCAUCAAUGUUCAAAUUAACAUUUUUAUGCUUUCAUGGCUUUACCUCAAAUCCAGCCUAUAACUUGCAAGCCCCAUUUAAAUUCUAGUAAUUUCUUAGUAAUCCCUCAAUCUAAUCAACCUAAUGUGUUUUCCUUCUAAAAAAUUUUGACCAAAAAAUGACAAGAAAAUAACAACUACUACUCACUCCAAAUACCAAAAAGCCCAAUUUCUACUCGGCAUUGUAUCAAACAUUUGUUGAGCAUAAUCUAACAUUCAUUUCUUCCAGAUAUUUUUCGAACUAUUAUCCCAAAGAUAAACGAAUACAAUUUCUACUGUAUAAGAAACUUACGAGGUAAGUACACAGUACAUGAUCUAUCAAAAAGCAACCUCGAACUGGAAAAAAAAUGUAAAGAAUCUGAGGAACAUCCUUCUCAGAAUAUUUUUGCUUCUCACUUCAAUCAAUUGGUAAUGAUUUUUCACACACGUCUAAAGAGUGUUCAAAACAAAACAAAUCAACCUAAAUACAUCUUACAAAUAGAUCAAAAAUGAUCUUUUCUUUUACUUGCGGUGUAUUUGCUAUCUGAAGGAACCACAUUCCCUUUUCUCCUCCUUUUGCUUUUUUCUAGGUCUGCUCCUGUCAGAUAUGCAAACCUGCACAGUACGGUGAAAUGAAAGUGGGUUGAUCAUAAGAUAGUAACAGAAGAAAGAGAAGAAAAUCCCAUGAUCAUAGGAUAAAAACAAAAAGAAUAUAAGCUUAUUUUAAGCACGAUUAGUUUGGAGCCCUGGGAUUACACCUUCACCCUUCCCUUCGCGAGUAGUGGUCAAUUUAGUCCAGGCCCGCCUCCCCUCACCUAGCCCGGACCCGGGACCACGCUCAGGUCCGAGACCGCCCCAGACCCGAGACCAGGCCCAGGUCCAGGCCCCCCUCCCCCCCGCAGGACCACGCCCAAGUCCGGACCCCCACCCCCUNNNNNNNNNNNNNNNNNNNNNNNNNNNNNNNNNNNNNNNNNNNNNNNNNNNNNNNNNNNNNNNNNNNNNNNNNNNNNNNNNNNNNNNNNNNNNNNNNNNNNNNNNNNNNNNNNNNNNNNNNNNNNNNNNNNNNNNNNNNNNNNNNNNNNNNNNNNNNNNNNNNNNNNNNNNNNNNNNNNNNNNNNNNNNNNNNNNNNNNNNNNNNNNNNNNNNNNNNNNNNNNNNNNNNNNNNNNNNNNNNNNNNNNNNNNNNNNNNNNNNNNNNNNNNNNNNNNNNNNNNNNNNNNNNNNNNNNNNNNNNNNNNNNNNNNNNNNNNNNNNNNNNNNNNNNNNNNNNNNNNNNNNNNNNNNNNNNNNNNNNNNNNNNNNNNNNNNNNNNNNNNNNNNNNNNNNNNNNNNNNNNNNNNNNNNNNNNNNNNNNNNNNNNNNNNNNNNNNNNNNNNNNNNNNNNNNNNNNNNNNNNNNNNNNNNNNNNNNNNNNNNNNNNNNNNNNNNNNNNNNNNNNNNNNNNNNNNNNNNNNNNNNNNNNNNNNNNNNNNNNNNNNNNNNNNNNNNNNNNNNNNNNNNNNNNNNNNNNNNNNNNNNNNNNNNNNNNNNNNNNNNNNNNNNNNNNNNNNNNNNNNNNNNNNNNNNNNNNNNNNNNNNNNNNNNNNNNNNNNNNNNNNNNNNNNNNNNNNNNNNNNNNNNNNNNNNNNNNNNNNNNNNNNNNNNNNNNNNNNNNNNNNNNNNNNNNNNNNNNNNNNNNNNNNNNNNNNNNNNNNNNNNNNNNNNNNNNNNNNNNNNNNNNNNNNNNNNNNNNNNNNNNNNNNNNNNNNNNNNNNNNNNNNNNNNNNNNNNNNNNNNNNNNNNNNNNNNNNNNNNNNNNNNNNNNNNNNNNNNGUCCUCCUCCCCGGUUUGGACCCGGGACCACGCCGAGCUCAAGGCCUCUCACCCCACCCCCACCCACCCACUCACCCUGCUAAGUAUUAGAGAACUAAUAUAAAAAUAUAAGAGUCUCACCUGCAUUAAUUUAACUGCAAAACUGGAUUUAGCUCCAUCAAUGCUUUCAAAUAAAGAUCCUAAAGAACAUAAUAGAUGAGAAGAAAAAUCAGAAACGCAUUGAAGCAUGUGAGGUAUUGAAAACUACAAGGAAGUCUAAGAAAAGAAGUCAGGAGAUUUGAUUUUGCAAUGGAUCUGUAGAUUAAUACUUACCAAAUAUGAAGUAAAUAUCAUCAACAAUCACUUCUUAUGCUAAGUUCUUCAAGUACAUCUGAGAAGGAUUCCCAGCAGAAUAAUUCCGCAUAGAAACUCAUGAGUUAAUCAUUCAGUCCUUUGUUUGCACUAAUAGUUCAACAUAGAAGGAAAUACCUUUCGUGCUUGUACACGGACUGUGAUGUCUAAGAGUUCAAACACAAACUUGCUACUUAGCUUUUCUCAUUAAUAGAACUUUUGAUGAUUAAGAAGUGAACAUGAUAACUUAUAGACUGGAAAGAUGCAAUCUUAAUGAACUUCUGCAGCAAAUAUUUACUGAACAAAAACAUUUCUUAUCAAUAAACCAGAUACUACUCAUAAUGAAAGGCUAAGAAGCAACAAUCUAUAAGAAAAAGUAGGUUGUAUGAAGCAUGAAUGUAUCUCAAAGCUCAUGAACGUAUCUCAAAACAUGGUGUCACUGACAAAUGAUAAUGGCAGCAGACGCUAAAGCAUAAUGCUAGAAACGAGCAACUGGGAAACUAUAUCUCACUGAUACCUCUUGGUUUGACAACAUAAACAGAAGUAAUUGCAUCAGUAUGGCCCUCUAGUAGAUGCGUACAAGAUCCAGCAGCCUUCUAUAUUCUGAUUAGCACUAUCAAAAGUUAGGUUGACACAAUAACCUUAAAAGAAAAGGCGAGUUCUAAACCAAAAAAUGCAAUUAGCAUAAGAAUAAACAAUCAGUAGGUUAUCAUCCAAAACCAUCAUAACAUCCAGUCAAAACAAACCUCAGAUCACAAAUAAGCACAUCUUGUCAGUUAAGGCAAUAGUGGAUUGUAUGCAAAGAAGACCUUUUUUACAUUCUUAAUUGUCACCAUGUAAUAUUUUAGGGGCAAAAGCACAUGGAGGAUGAAUUUUACCUCAAAACACUUGGAAAAAAAACAGCAUAACGUAAUAAUAUCAAAAACAUUGUCCUUAUUAAUCUAGUGUGUAAGAGAUAUGUAUGAGUGAAGUGAAUGCGCAACAGACCUGGAGUACAAGGUACAGAGAUCAAAUAUCCAGAGAAAUGAAACCAUUUCAUUUAGUCAUAUUAUGCUAGCUCUCUAUUUAUCUAUUUAUUUGGGGGUGGGGGGUGCGGCGGAUAAAACCAAUACAUUAAACAGAGAAUGAUAUACAAGGCAUUAAAAAUUACAAGGAUGACACUGAUAUUCUAGAUAAACAAACUUCACACUCAUGCUUACUUAGAAUUAGAACCAUCAACAGCACUAACCCAGCAUACUUAUCGAAGAAGAAGAGAAGUUCACUUACAUCGUUAAACAUUUUGAUAAUCUAUGAAGAAUAUUCGAGUGGAAAUUAAAGUGAGUUUAGAAGAUAUUUUUGGACGAAAAUUGAGGGAUAACUGGAGAAUGAGAAAGAGAAAGUACAAAGGGAAAAGGAUCAGAGUAGAGCUUUUUCAAAUUUAACCUAGAGAAGUUCUCUGUCUUCCAAGUAAACCUUACAGUCUGGGGACCUCCGAUUGCAGAUUUUCCCCAUCAUGUCAUGUUUCUACUGCUGCUAGCAAGUCAACAUGGAGAAACCAUCAGAUCAAAACCUCUAAAUCCAGCUGUAAAGAACAUAGACGUACAUAUUGGAUAAGCCAAUGUACAAUCAUCUAAGAUUUAGUUUAAUUUGAAAAUUGUAGCAACUUGAAAUGAAGAUGCAUGGCGUAAGCCCUGUGGUGAAGCUGCACUACACAACCUUUCUCAUUACCAUAUCUCCAACAACAUCAUCGAUAGCACAGUCGUCCAAAUGUUACAUAUGACUUUUGUCCACCAUCCUUUAGAUAUCCAAUGACGCAGAGAUGCACCACAUUAUUAAAGCUCAUCAAAACAUACCAAAGUGGCUCUGCACAACCAUUGUACUAAUAUUCCAAAAGGUUAAGUAAACAAAUCUCUUGUGAUUGCAAACUAUUAAACUAAAGAAUAAGUUAUUCAAGACAAUUAUUCACUUCCCAACAUUUCAUUGGACAACAAGCGAAUCUAAAAUGUGAACAUACUUACAUUAUCAGUCAACUUUCCAUAACAUGGAUCCUAUACCGCAAACUUAUAUUUUAAUAAAUUAACAUAUCAAUGCCUAGUUUAGCAUAGUUCAGACUCCAGACACAACAUUUAGUAAACAAAAGGAGUCAAAAUUAUCAGUUGUUUUAUUUCUCAUCCUUCAGUUAUUUCUGCCUGACUAGGCAUUCACGAGUGCCAAUGUAGCAUGAAUGAGUAUUUUUCCCUUUGAAUAACCUAUCAAGUAUCAACUGUAUAAACAUGGGAAAUGUUCCACUAAUCCUAUAUACGCCAUUCUUGAAAUAGUAAAACACAAAUAAAUUGCUUCUUUUUCUUCCUCACAUUUCUUCUUUUUUCUUUUGAGAAAGGUAAAAUACUUCCUCGUGUUUCUUAUUACCUUUUAGUAUCCCCUUUGAAUAACAUAUCAACCGUAUAAACAUGGGAAAUUUUCUACUAAUCCUAUAGUCCCAAUUCUUGAAAGAGUAAAACACAUUGCUUCUUUUUUUCCCUCGCAUUUCUUAUUACCUUUGAAUAACCCAUCAACAGUAUAGACAUGGGAAAUGUUCUGCUAAUCCUGUAUGCCACAUUCCCGAAAUAGUAAAACACAAACACACUGCUACUUUUUUUCUCAAAUUUCUUGUUACCUUUGAAUAACCUAUCAACUGUCUAAACAUAGGAAAUGUUCUACUAAUCCUAUAGUGCCCAUUCUCGAAAUAGUAAAACACAAACACAUUGCUUCUUUUUUUCCCCCUCAAAUUUCUUAAAUCCUAUAGUCCCCAUUCUUUAAAUUGUAAAACACAAACACAAUGCUUCUUUUUCUUCCUCACAUUUCUUAUUACCUUUGAAUAACCUCUCAACUGUAUAAACAUGGGAAUUGUUAACUUAUCCUUUAGUCCACAUUCUUGAAAUAGUAAAACACAAACACAGUGCUUCUUUUUCUUCCUUGCAUUUCAUAUUACCUUUGAAUAAUAUAUCAACUGUAUAAACAUAGAAAAUGUUCUACUGCUCAUAUAGUCCACAUUCUCGAAAUAGUAAAAAACAAAUACAUUGCUUCUUCUUCCUCGCAUUUCUUAAUUGAUACAAACACUUCCUGACGUUUCUUAUUACCUCUGAGUAUGCCCUUUGAAUAACUCUAUCAACUGUAUAAACAUGUGAAAUGUUCUAAUAAUCAUAUAGUCCACAUUCUUGAAAUAGUAAAACAAAAACACGCUGCUUUCAUUUCUUUCUCAGUUUCUUUGAGAAAGGUAAAAUACUUCCUCCGUUCUCGAAAUAGUAAAACAGAAACAGAUUCCUUCUUUUUCUUCAUCACAUUUCUUUUUUUUUGUUUUGUUUUUAGAAAUGUAGAAUACUUCCGCACACUUCUUAUUUCAUUUGAAUAACCUAUCAACUGUAUAAACAUGUGAAAUGUCCACAUUCCUCAAACAGUAAAACACAAACACAUUGCUGCUGCUUCUUCCUCACAUUUCUUAAUUGAUACAAAUAAUUCCUCGUGUUUCUUAUUAUCUCUGAGUGUCCCCUUUGAAUAACCCUAUCAACUGUAUAAACAUGCGAAAUGUUCUACUAAUCAUAUAAUCCAUAUUCUCAAAAUAGUAAAAUACAAACAGAUUGCUACUUCUUUUUCCUCGCAUUUGUUAAAUAAUACAAAAAAAAAAAAAACGCUUAAUUAAUUACCUUCCUUAGGCUGAGGACCUUCUCAUCAGACAAAUCAGAACGUGGAAGACAUCUCCUCAUCUUCUCGCUACUCCGACAUAAACACACGAGAAAAAAAAAACAGUUACAAAAAUUCACAAAGUACAAAACCCUAAAAUUAACAAAGAAUUAGUAACAAUUGUAAGGCAAUUCAAUUGUAAGAAUUAUUAUACUUAAACCGUUAAACGUUUUGAUAAUUGAUGAAGAAUAUUCGAGCGGAAAUUGAAGUGAAUUUAGAAGAUGCUUUUGGAAGAAAAUGGCCCGUGAAAAUUGAGAGAUCAACUGGAGAACGAGAAAGAGAAAGUAUAUAUAGAGGGAAAAUGGAAAUGAUAGAUCCUCCAAGUUUCUAAUUAAGAAAAGGUAAUAAGUGGUCCGGCAAAUAAAUUAAGUCAUUGAGGCAGUUAUUCCAUAAUUAUAUUAGUUAUUUGAACAACUUCUUUCAUUUGUCAAAUAACUAUGUUUAGUUGUUCAAACAGCUGCGUUCAAUUGUUGAAUAAUUUAUGCAGUUGUUGAAUAAUUUUAUAAAAUUAUCGAACAACUAUCAAAGUUGUUCUACAACUGAAAUAAGUUGUUGAAAACAAAAAAAUCUUAAAAAAAAAAAAAACUCAAAAAGGAUUUGUCCAUCCCACCUAAUUUUAAAAAUUUGAAUGACUCCCACUUAAUUGGAUAACUUGUUCGUCCUUUUUAAUCCAAAGUCCCCUGCUAUAGUAGUAAGAUGGAACAAUGGGAGGGUAGUUUAGUCAUUUAAGAAUAAUCUUUUACGUAUUUUUUUAACGGUCAAAUUUUUCCUAUUUUUAGCCUUUGAUGUGGACCGUUGGAUGCAAUUGAUUGAGCUGUUACUGAGCGUUGGAUGUUGUAUGUAAUAAUCUGUUGGCUUGCCCCCUAGUGUAUCAUUUAGAAUUUACUCCUAAUUCUUCAAAAUUAUGUAAAUAUAAGGACAUGUGAAUGUGGUAUAAUAAUUUUUAUAAGAUUUUCCAAUUUUGUUAAAAAGAAUUUUUAGAUUAUGAUUAAAAAAUUCAUAAUUGUAAUAGGAAUAAAAUUUGUCAUUUACUAAAUGAUUAUAUGGUUUAUAUCAAAAAGAGCUAAUCAGCAAAAAAAUUUUAGUAAUAACCGGUCUAUUACUAUUAUUAGUGUAACUGCAUAUGCCCCGCACAUAUAAUAUUUGAUUAUUUAAAGUUAAAUAAUUUUAUUUUUUGUGAAGUUUUUUAAUAAAGUGUAAAAAAUUUAAAUCCGUUAUAAAAUAAGAAAGAAUAAAGAAUAAAAUAAGAAAGAAUAAAGAAGAGUAGAGAGAAUAGAGAGAGUAGUUCUUAUUUCUUCUUUUGAGGGAUGAGAGAUCAUCAGGUUGUAUAUACAAUGAACAAAAACUCUCUAUUUAUAGAGAAAAUUUACUCCUAAUCUGAGUAAAAGACGGAUGCUUCAAAUCCUAAUAGAUAUCAAAGUAGAUUUUGAUAGAUCUUGAUAGACAUUCACUAUAAUGUAAACACAUUUAUAACUCUUCCCCUUGAAUGUCUAAUUGGUAGAUAAUGUGCCUCGUUAAAACCUUACUAGAAAAAAUCCAGUAGGAAAAAAAUCUAGUGAAGGAAAAAGAGUACAUAUCUCUAAUAAUACGCAUUUCGGCUGCCUUAUUAAAAACCUUACAAGGAAACCCAGUGAGACAAAACCUCGUAAGGAAAAAAAAGUACAGCGCGUAUUAACUCCCCCUAAUGAGAACAUCAUUGAACCUCUGCAUCCCGAUCUUGUGCGUCAUCUUCUUAAAAGUUGUAAUUGGAGAAGACUUGAUAAAUAAAUCAGUCACAUUGUCAGUUGAACGAAUUUGUUGCACGUUAAUAUCAUCAUUCUUUUGUAGCUCAUGUAUGUAGAAAAGUUUUGGCAAAAUGUGCUUCGUUCUAUCUCCAUUUACGAAUCUCUCUUAAGAUGUGCUAUGUAUGCUGAAUUAUCUCUGUAUAAAAUUGUUGGUAGAUUGUCAUAUUUCACACCACAUUUUUCUCGAAUGAGAUGUAUCAUGGACCUCAAUCAUACACAUUCUCGGCUUGCUUCAUGAAUAGUUAUUAUCUCAGCAUGAUUCGAUGAAGUGGCUACGAUAGACUGCUUUGUAUAUUUCCAAGAUAUGACAGUAUCCCCACGUGUGAACACAUUGUAUGUUUGAGACCGAGAUUUAUGCUGGUUAGAUGAGUACCCAACAUCAGCAUGACCAGUAAGAUCGGGGCUGCAAUAUUUAGAAUAAAAUAAACUCAUGUAUCUUAUUCCAUUUCGAUAUCUCCUAGUAGAAGUAGAAAUAUAUCUUGCUAACAAAUUGAGCGAAAAGCUAUAUUGGGUCUUGUAGUUUUUUACAAGAUAUAUGAGUGCACCAAUUGUACUAAGAUAUGGUAUCAUAACCAAUCCAAAUCGGUAUAUUUCUCAUUUCAGCAAAUAAUCUUAUUACUUUUGAAAACUCUCCAAGAAUUUUAAUAAUUUUCAAGCUAUAAGCUUAUACAAUAUAAGGAUUAUCAAUAAGUUUCCUAGAAAGUUUUAUAUUUUGAAUCCUUAAAUAAGUUUUCAUACAAAUUUUGUCGGAGUGAUAAUAUUCAACAUUUUAUGUGUGACAUGCAUCUUCAAGUGUCUGGACUGCAAAUCAAAUAAGUUUUCACUUACCAAGAUGCAUCCUUUCAUGUCACUUAAUAAAUGUUUCUAUGUCAGCAUGCUUAAAUUAAUGUAGAAUUAAGAUCCUCGUAAUCUUUCACAAUAUUGCGUCAAUAUUGUGUCAAAGAUAUUGAUGAUGUAUCAUUUAGUAUCGGUUCACAAUGCGACAUAACAUUUUGAGAUCUCAUCACUUCAUUAUUUUCAGGUACAUGAACAUCUCAUAAGGUUUCAUGAAGUGUUAUGUCAUAGGCUCUUCAAGAGUUCAUUGCCUUCUUAUUAUAAUUAUUUGCUCCUUAUUUUUCAAGAAUUAUUUCAUUUGAAAUCGAUUAGUCUAUCACAUUUCACGCAUACAUAGACUUUGUCCUUUAAGAACACAAAAUAAGAGCACUUGCGCUUAAUAUGAGAUGCUUUCGACAUUUGACUUGAAUUAUCUUUUGAAUGAGGAUUUGAUGAUAAUUCCUAACAUACUUCAUAGCUGCUUAUAAUCUCCCCCUUAUGCUAGGAAAGCUAACAUACAUCCUCCAUUUUCUUUGAUGCAUCUAUCUUUGUGCAUCAUGGUACAUUCAUUAAUCGUAUAUCGCACAUCAAAACUAUUAGAUAGAAUAGUUGGUUCAUGACCUUGAACCAAUUGAGGGGAAGAAAUAAUCAUAAUUUAUUGGUCUAAUGCAUACAAGUGUUAUUGUAUGCAACAUGUCAUAUUUCAGAUCAACACAUGAAGCUUUGUUCUCAUUAGCGAUGGUUUAGCUAUUUAUCGAAGGCAUUCAAUGCCAAACCAUCAUCAUCAAGAUAACUUUCUUGAUUGCACAAUAUGAAAAUUAUGUUCCUUAACUCAAUUUGUUGAGCAAACAACUUUAUGAAUGUCAAACUGCAGGUUGACAAUGAAUGUACAUGUGAUCAUCUUAUUGAUGCAUCAUUUUAACAUAUCACAUGAUAGAUGAACGGGCUCUUAUUCGCCUUUUAAAAUUUCCAAAUUUGAAGGGAUCCAAUCCCAAUAUUAGUUAGUCCAACCAACUUAUCAUGAGAACAAACGACAUAAACAAUUUUUGAAGAAUCUUCUAGUUCUUCAAUAAAUGCACAUCUUUGAGAUGUCACAAUCGUUCAUAUCAAUUCAUGAACUUUUAUUCUAGUAAACUCCAAGUUUACCAUGACAUGUACUUUUUCUUUAGUAAAUUUCAGAUUUACUAUUACAUGAAUAAAUUUUAAAUUUAGUACAUCAGAAGUAGAUUUCAAAAUUAUUCAACCUCUUUCGGAGGUGAGUUGUGAUACAAUCACAAUCAAGUUCACAUUUGCAUUAAUAAGUUUCUCAUUCCCUAUAAAUGGAAUAUAAUCGUGCCUUAAGCCUAUCAAAUUAUGAUAGCUUAUAACCUCUUUCAAGAUUUUGCUACUUCAAAAACAAACCGAGGCAUACAUAUGAUGUAGAGAAUUUUUCUCUAGCAUAUCUUAUAAUCAUAUAAGCGUGUGAAAAUAUUUGAUGAUCAUUAUUAUAUUCGUGCAUUCAAUCACUUAUCUUCUUUCAGACAUAUUAUGCACUGCUACCACAUACACCUCAAGAAUGAAGUAAGUUGUCAUAUUUCAAACUCAUCAUAUAUUGCUACCACAUUCACUUCAUGGAAUGGAGCAUAUUCAAUGGGUCGAAUUUCAUAACUUUUCACCCAAUACCCAUUAUUUUGUCUUAGCCAUCACAAUAUCAUCAAGGGAAAAGGCAUCGUUUCUACCCCAAACUAUACCCGAAAAGUCGAAGCCACGCCUAAACUAUACUAGUGACCUAUUACACACCUAAACUAUAAAAAAGUGAAACCAUUUACACCCUGUCAGGCUACCACCACUUGCAUGUGGUGUAGUGUUUUACACGCGCUGCCACGUCAGCACUACGUCAGUAAAAAGUAUCACUUUUUUAUAGUUAAGGUGUGUAAUAGGUCACUUAUAUAGUUUAGGUGUGGAUUCGACUUUUCAACUAUAGUUUGGGGUGGAAACAAUGACUUUUCCCAUAAUGUUUUUAGUCGUUUACUUUUGUUAUUUAAUAGGCUGGACGCGCCUAAAAUAAGUGUAAUACACGCCUUAUAAUGGGGGUUGCGGGGAGGUAAUAAUAUUUAUUUUUUAUAGUUAAGGUGUUUAAUAGGUCACUAGUAUAGUUUAGGUGUGACUUAGACUUUUCGGGUAUAGUUUAGGGUGAAAAUGAUGCCUUUUCCCUAUCAUCAAUAUGGUGUAUUGAGAUUCAAACUCAAUAUUUUAUCCAUAUAAAGGCGUCUUAGGCAUAAAUCAAUGGAACUUGAACCCAAAUAUUACUAUCCCUUUUGAUAAUAUUCUUCUUGAGGAAUGAAUUUAAAACAUAAAUGGUUCCAAACUAAUUAUUUUUCCUCAAAUCCAACAAUAAUUAUAUCAUUAAUAGAAAAAUACGAAUAACAUAAGGAAUUACUAACCUUGACCUUUAGAUUUAUAAUCUCACCUUAUUGGACAGAGUCUCGUGCUGAUAACGUAUUAUGAAAUAAGAAAGAAUAAAGAAGAAGAGUAGAGAGAAUAGAGAGAGUGGUUCUUAUUUCUUCUCUUGAGGGAUGAGAGAUCAUCAGGUUGUAAAUACAAUGAACAAACCCCCUCUAUUUAUAGGGGAAAUUUACUCAUAGUCUAAGUAAAAGACGGAUGCUUCAAAUCCUAAUAGAUAUCAAAGUAGAUCUUGAUAGAUCUUGAUAGACAUUCACUAUAAUGUAAAUACAUUUAUAACAAAAUCACUUUUCAAAGAUCCAUUGCAUUUUAAUACGAUAAUGUAAACAUAAAUAAAUAUUUUAGUAUAAGCAUAUGUAUAUUUUACCACCACAAGUUCCAAAUGAUUGAUGGAUAUCACUUUUACGUUUGUAAAUUGAUCAUAAAUUCAGCCUUAUUCGUUUUGCAUUUGUUCUAGAACCUAGACUAAAGCCUCAUUUGUAAUUAUUAAUAUUCAGACAUCAAAAUUCUAAAUACAUAUCUGAAUAUUAUGUUUCAUUAACUGUUGAAUGAACCCUCGAUCACCUGUGGUACCCAAUAUUGAACAAAUGACGCUCAUCUUGAUUGUGCUCUUCAAAAUCAUUAAUUUUAUCAUUGAUGCCAUGACGUCCCUUGAUGUCUCGUUCAAUGUGUACGUCAAACAUCUGCUCCCCUUCCUAUGCAUUGUUCAAACAUGCAUUUAAAGUGUAUUAAAUACGUGUAAUGCAAAACUAAACAUUCAUAUAAUGCAAUCGCAAAAACUAAAGGAAAAUGUCAGAAACAUAAAACUAAAAAGUUACCUUCAAAUUCAGAUUUUCAGGCUGCCUCCAGACAACAACUUAAUUUCAUUUAAUAUUUUCUCAAAAUAUAUGGUUAUAACAUUCUUCAUAGCUAAAAAUAAAUCAUCAACCUAACUAACUAACAACAAUAUCAACAUACUCAGUUUGGUCCCAUGGGGCAAAGAAGUUGUUUUUAAUAAACCAUUGGCUCAAGUAGAACAUAUUGAAAUCAAGUAUCCAAGAAGCAAAAGUUUGUAUUUUUACUGCAGAAAGUUGUGGAGCGAAGAAAAGGGAGGUCUCUAUUUAGCAAAGAUGAACAUGAAUGUGUACAUUAUUAUAGUUGGUUCUGCAACACCUAGGAUCAACAAAGGUUGAACCAAUGAUGGAGUGUAUAAUUCCAAAAAAAUUGCAGUGAAUGCUAAUUUUUACGGCAGGUAGAAUUUAAUCUGUAGGUGUUAUAAGAAUUUCAUACACAUUAAACAAUUUAUGAAUUUCUAGGUCCAAAGAUAAUUGAAACAAAUUCACCUUGCAUCUUUCAAUGAUCAUAAACUUAUGUAGCAAUAAACAACUAAGACAUAAACUAUCAGAAAAUUCAUGUUAUCUUACAACUCCACAUAAUAAUACAUAGAAUUUCAUCCAAACUCUUUCUAAAAUAUACUAAUGAAUAAUGAAUGAAAAGAAAGUACCUCAAAGUUUACAUAAUCUUCUAAUGCCUUUGUCCAAUUGAAAUAACCCCAAUGUAUUUUUGUUUGAAGACGCUACUUCUAUUGAUUUUUUAUAAAAUCUAUACUGCAAACUAAAAAUACUAACAAUUCUCACUUUUGCGCUAUUAAUAUGUAGAGAAAUACAUGUCCAAAACAAAUAGACAUAACAUAUCCGAGCGGCAUAAAUGGCUAACCAAUACAUGGUACAUGCACAACUAUGCAAGCAAAGCAAAAAAUAGAAUGAGGAUCUUUGUUCGUCAUUCCCGUCUACACACAAAAACAUACAAUCAAUUAAACAUGAUACACAACUAUUCAAGCAAAACACAAUAUAGAUUUAUAAAAUUGAAUCAGAAUUUAUUCAAUCAUUAAGAGAUACUCCUCAUUUAUAAUCAAAUAAUGAGUCCUACUACGUUUGUGAAAUUUUAUUUGGUCCAUCCUUAAUUUAUAAAAGUCGAAAAUCUCUAUAGAAAGAAUUUACCUAAAUAUGAUAGAUUUUUCUUCUUUUUUUGAAAGAAAAAAAGCAAAAAAUAUUUCUGGUAAUUUUCUUUAUUUACUUAAAUUUUAAGAUAUUAACAUAGUACUUCAAGAUUUCUACUAUGACAUUAGUAGUUGGGUCUACUGGAUUUGAAAAAAAAACAAAAAAAACAUGAACCUAAAAACAAAUCCUUCACUUCUAAACCUAACAUUAAUAUCGUUCUAAAAAUGCCACCGACCCCUAAAUUUUACUUAAAAUAAAACUGUAACAUUUAUGACAUUAUUUGAAUUUCAAUUAUUAUACUUGAUAAUUAAAAGAUAAUUAUUUAAGAAAAUUAGUAUAAAGAUGAUUUUAUCUAUUACAGAAUUUUUUAAUGAAGGGCAAAAAGUUCAAAUCACCUUUUUAAAAGUUCACAUUUUUUAUAUAUUAUGAAUAUAGAUUAUUAAUUACUUUCAUAAUAUAAAUUUCCAAAAUAUAUGGAACUCUUUCCGUUAUUUUGUCAUGUAUAACAUUAAUAUUAAUCAUUAUUUGUUACGAAUGUAUUUACAUUAUUGUGAAUGUCUAUUAGGAAUAUAGAUAAAAUCUAUCAAGAUCUAAUUGAUAUCUAUCAAGAUUUGAAGUAUCUGUCUUUUAGUGAGAUACUAAUAUCUAUCCUUUAGUGAGAUAGUAGGAGUAAAUUUUUCCAUAGAGGGAUUUUAUUCAUUGUAAAUUAUUCUCAAAAAUCUCAUCUCAAAUAAAGAAGUCUCCCCUCUUCUCUCUCUAUUUAUCUAUUUAUCUACUCUUUUUCUUUAUUCUUUGUUAUUUCAAACACGUUAUCAACAUUUUUUGUUAUUUCAUAACACGUUAUCAGUAUUCUUUGUUAUUUCAUAACACAUUAUCAGCACGAUACUCUACUAUAUUGAGUAUAUGCUUUAAAAUAUUGAAGCAGUUUGAAACUUCAAUCAUCAGCCGAAUCAAGGUGAAAUUAUAAUUGUCAAAAUAAUCUCAAGGUGAGUAUGGAAUUUGAUAUAAUCAAAUUCAAUUUACACCAAAUAUAUAAUUGUUAUAAACUCUUAGAUUUUGGUACUUUAAGUACGGUUGUGAAUCUCUAUGUAACAUUGAGUAGCAGGUAUGUUUAAGGUUGUAAUUAAUUUUGAAAUUUACUUUCUCACAAAAAAAAAAAAGAAAUUGCUCUACAGUAAAUUACCUUAAGAGUAAUUACUUUUUUAUAAUUAGUAUUACGUUCUUGCAUGUUAAUAUUGAAUUUAAGAAAUACAAGUGGAGCCACUGAAAUAUGUGCUUGAUUAUCAUAUUGUAUCCCUAGAAUAUGAUAUAAAGGAUCCUAUAUUAAUUUUAUUUAUAUGUGAAUAGCAUGUAUUUGCUAACUAGAUCUAAAAUUUUAUGGCUGUGAUUUUAUUUUUAUGUAGUAUUAUAUCCAUUAUCAUUAGAUAAAUAUCAUAAAGAUCAAAUUUGUAUAUGCCUAAAAUAAUCACAGAGUAGUGAUAUUAUUAUAGGCUCAAAUUUAUAUUUUAUUAUACGUUAUUAUUUAUGUUAUUGGUUGAAGAAAAGAUGAUUGAUUCAAAUCCUAAAAUACCAAAAGAAUAAGAUAUUGGAUUAGAGUUCCAAUGCAACAUGAUAAAAUAUUGGGUUCAAAUCUAAUCGAUGUACGUCUAAGACGCCUUUAUAUGAAUAAGACGUUGUGUUUAAAUCUCAAUGCACCAUAUUGAUGAUAUCAUGAUGGCUAAGGCAAAAUAAUGCGUAUUUCAUGAAAAGUGAUGAAACAUGUCCUAUUGAAAUAUGUUCCAUUCCUGAAAUGAAUGUGGUAGCAGUGCAUAACAUGUCUGAAUGAACACAAGUGGUUGAAUAGAUGCACAUAAACGUGGAAAGGGACAAAAUAAUAAUAUUUUUCACAUGUUUGCAUGCCUUGAUCUUAAAAGAGACUAUAAGCUAUCAUAAUUUGAUAGACUUAAGACACGAUUAUAUUCCAAACCUGGAGAAUGAGAAUCUUAUUAAUGCAAACGUGCAUUUUAUUGUGAUGGUAUCAUAACUCACCUCCGAAUGAGGCAUAAUAACUGAGAAGUGUAAUAGUAAAUUUGAAAAAUUUACUAAAGAAAAAAUACAUGUCAUGGUAAACUUGUGUUUACUACUGUAAAUAAGUUCAUAAGUUGAUAUGAACGAGUGUGACAUCUCGAAGAUGUGCAUAUUGAGUAUUAGACAUGUAUUGAAGAAUUAAAAGAUUCUUCAAGAAUUGUUUAUAUCUCUUGUUCUCAUGAUAAGUUGGUUAGACCAACUAAUAUUGGGAUUUGAUCCCUUAAAAUUCGAAAAGUUAAAAGGUGAAAAGGGCUCGUUCACCUAUUAUGUGAUAUGUUUUGAAAAGAUGCAUCAAUAAGAUGAUCAUAUGUAUAUUUAUUGUGAACCUGCAGUUUGACAUUCAUAAAGUUGUUUACUUAAUGAAAUUGAGUUAAGAGCAUUAUUUUCUGACUGUGCAAUCAAGACAAUCCAUCUUGAUGAAAAUGGGUUGGCAUUUAAUGUCUUCAAUAAAUAGUUAAACCAUUGUUAAUGAGAACAAAACUUCAUGUUGUUGGUCUGAAAUAUGAUUAGGACUUAUAUGCAUUAGACCAAUAAAUUAUGAUUAUUUCCUUCCUCUCAAUUGGUUCAAGGUCAGGAACCAACUAUUCUAUCUACUAGUUUUGAUAUGCGGUAUACAAUUAAUAAAUAUACCAUGAUACAUAAAAAUAGAUUCCUCAAAGAAGAUGGAGGAUGUAUGUUAGUUUUCCUAACAUGACGGGGGAGAUUAUAAGCAGCUCUGAAAUAUGCUAGGAAUUAUCAUCAGAUCCACAUUCAAAAGAUAAUUCAAGUCAUAUGUCGAAAACAUUUACUGACUCAAAUUUAAUCUCAUAUCUAAGCUGCAAGUGCUCCUAUUUUGUGUUCAUAAAGGACAAAAUCUACGCAUGUGUGAAGUGUGGUAGACCAAUCGAUUCCAAAUAAAAUAAUCCUCGAAAAGGAUAAGGAGUAAAUGGUCAUAAUAAGAAGACAAUGUGCUCUUGAAAGAGCCUAGGACAUAACACUUCAUGAAACCUUAUGAGAGGUUCAGGUACUUGAAAAUAAUGAAGUAAUGAGAUCUCAAAAUGUUAUGUCACACUGUGAACCAAUACGAAAUGAUAUAUCAUCAAUGAUAUCUUUGAUAUAAUAUUGAUGCAAUAUUGUAAAAGAUUACGAGGAUACGGAUUCUAUGUUUAUUUAAGCAUGCUGACGUAGAAACAUUUAUCAAGUGACCUAAAAUGAUGCAUUUUGGUAAGCGUAAACCUUAUUUGAUUUGCAGUCGAGACACUUGAAGAUGUCACACUUGACAUGUUGGAUAUUGUCACUCAAUAAAAAUCCAUAUGAAAAUCCCUAGAGGAUUCAAAAUGCCGAAAGCAUAUAAAGUUUAUGGGAAACUUUUUAUUAUCCUAAUAAGAGAUAAUUUGAUGAUCUGAGUAUCAGUGGAACUCUUGGAGAGUUUUCAAGGUAAUAGAAAUAUUUGCUCAAAUGAGAAAUAUGGAAAAUUGAAUACGGAUCCAUUCCGACCUCAAGAAAAGAAUGAGGAACUCCUUGGUUAUGAAGUGUCAUAUCUUAGUGCAAUUGAUGCACUAAUGUAUAUUGCAAAUACUGCAAGACUUGAUAUAACCCUUUUCAAUUAAUUUGUUAGCAAGUUUGCAGUCUUGAUCUUAUUGGUCAUGUUGAUGUUCGGUACUUAUCUGACCUAUAUAAAGUUUGGUCUCAAAUAGGCUAUGUGUUCAUAUGUGGUGGUACAACAAUGUCUUGGAGAUAUACAAAACAGUUUAUCGUAGCCACUUCAUCGAACCAUGCUGAGAUAAUAGUUAUUCAUGAAGCAAGUCGAGAAUGUGUAUGGUUGAGGCAUGAUAUAUCUUUUUUUCCUUCACUAUUUUUUUUUCCUUCACUAAAUUUUUUUUUCCACUGAAUUUUUUCUAAUAAGGUUUUAACGAGGCACAUUAUCUAUCAAUUAAACAUUCAAGGGGAGUAUUAUAAAUGUAUUUACAUUAUAGAAUAUCUAUCAAGAAUAUAGAUAAGAUUUAUCAAGAUCUAAAUGAUAUCUAUCAGGAUUUGAAUUAUCUAUCUUUUAAUGAGAUUUGAAUUAUCUGUCUUUUAGUGAGAAACUAGGAGUAAAUUUCUCCUAUAAAUAGAGGGGUUUUAUUCUCUCAUUCUCAAGAGAAAUAAAGAUGUCUCCUAUCUUUUCUCUAUAUGUAUCUACUCUUCUUCUUUAUUCUUUGUUAUUUCAUAAUACGUUAUUAGCAUUCUUUGUUAUUUCACAACUUUUAUUGUUUCCUUAACAAUGGAAAUUUGGAGCCAUUAAUUCUGAUGAUUUCUAAUAAGGAAAAGUUUUAUCAUAAAUAUAUUUUAAUUUUUAACUCUUAAAUAUUAAAAAAAAUAGUGAAAAAAUAAUUUUAUUUAAAACAAAGACUUUUAAUGGAGGAUAAAAAGUUCAAACAAUAUUUAUUAGGUCGUUCACACUUUUAAUAUAUUACUAUUAUUAUUAUUAUUAUUAUUAUUAUUAUUUGCCUGAUUACUAAGUAUUUUCUACCCUUCUACUUCAUAAAUAAUAAAUUUAUAGGUUUACAAUAUUAAUUAAAAUGCAAAAAGAAAAUCACAAAUAAUUAAAAAGAUGAAUGAAUUUAGAUAUGAUGUAAAACCCUACUACCACAUUGACCCGACCCGUUUUUCCUACCACGGGAUCGCUUAAACCCCUACCGCCAACCCAUUCUUUCUCUCUUUCAGCUUACUUUGAAGCUAAACUGUAGGCACAUUAACGUCCAUUUGUAAAAAUAUUUUAGCUUUUUACGCUGAAUAUUGGCAGCUGCAGCACAACAAUGUAAGAAUUGUUGUUUUUUUUUCUUUGUACUAAAUUUGAAUUUGAUGAUUUCCCAGAAUUAAGUUUUUUUGAGUGUCUGAUUGAUUUGUAAAUGCAAUGAAUUGAGUUUUCUUGUUCUGGUUUGUAAGGAUUAAUGUUUGGUUGGUUUAUUUAUUCAAUUUGAAUAAUACCCAGAAUGGAGUUUUGUGUAUCUAGUUUUUUUGGAAUGCGAAAAUUUUAGUUUUUUUCUUGGUGGAUUGUAGGAAUUAUUGAUUAUUGUGGUUUAAGUUUGAAUUUUUAUUACACCCAGAACUGAGUUUUGAGUUUCUGGUUGAUUUGUGAAUGCAAAGUCUUGAAUUUUCCUGUUCAGGUUGUAAGGAUUAAUGUUUGUUUUGGUUUUAUUUAUUUAUUUAUUUAUUUAUUCAAUUUGAGUAAUACCCAGAAUGGAGUUUUGUGUAUCUCGUUGUUUUGGAAUGCAAAAAUUUGAGUUUUUUCUUGGUGGGGUUGUAGGAAUUAUUGAUUAUCGUGGUUUAAGUUUGAAUUUAAAGGAUACUCAGAACUGAUUUUUGAGUUUCUGUUUGAUUUUGAUUGCAAAGAUUUUUUUUCUUUUUUUCUUUUUGGUGUUCUUGGAUAGUGUUAAAUGUUUAGUGUGUAUUUUUGUAUUGAAGGUCUCGUCUCUGUGUGAAGAAUUUGCCAAAGUAUGUAGCCGAGGACCGUCUCAGAGAAUUCUUCUCUCAGAAAGGGGAAGUCACCGACGCCAAGCUCAUGCGUACUUCGUUAAGUUUCUCUUCUCCUCUCUGCUCUACCUUUUUUUUUUUUUUUUUUAAAUAGUAAUGUGAGCUGUAGACAAACUCUGUGCCUGAGUCCAUAGUUUGUUGUACUGAUACGGGUCAAAAUGGAGGGAGCCAGCUAGAAAGCAUUCAUACAGUUAACCACAAUUAGUAAAGAACUUGUUGUUAAUGACUAAUGUACAGUAGCAUUUCAGUUUUUCAGUUUUUCAUCGGUGGUUUCAGCCAAUAAUUGAUUUUUUGACUGGUAUUCACGAAUUGCUAUUUGAUACUGUAGAGAUUUUUGGGUAUGUUCAUGAAUUUGAAAUUCAUUUGACAUCGACUGAUUGCCACUUUAAGCAGAGAUGGAAAGAGCAGGCAGUUUGGAUUUGUAGGAUUUCGAACGGAGCAAGAGGCUGAGGAAGCUAUCAAGUAUUUUGACAAGUCUUUCAUGGAUAAUAGUCGUAUUAUUUGUGAGGUAUGUUUUUUCUGCUUCAGUUACUAUGCUGUUCUGCUUGGGUGGUAUACCUAUUUAGCAGAAGACGAAAAAGCAUAUCUCUGUUCCAUAUUCCAUUAUUUUGAAAUUAGUCGAUAUAUACAUUUCAAAUUACUCCACCUGUCCUAUUUUAUGUGACAUACUUUCCUUUUUGGUUGUCCAAAAAAAAUGACAUCUUUGUAAUAAUUAGAAAUACUUUGACUUUAAUUUUUUAUUUUACUCUAUUAUAGCCUCAAAACUGGCAUGGUUUUUGUUAGACCACGAGCUCCAAAAAGAUUUCUUUCUUAAACUCCGUGUCAAGUCAAGCACCGCCAAAAUAGCUGGGACACAUAGUAUAAAAGAUGAUGCCUUUAUAAUUUUUCCAAGUAGCUAGUGAAAGUAUCCUUAUAUAAGUCCUGUUAACUUUAUUGCUUUAUUCUAAUUUACAUUGUGAAUUACUUGAAUCUUUAUUUUCAUGGGUUGUGGAUUAUUAUUUUUCUAGAGAGUAGCUAUAUAUUGGUGAUGUGCUUGAAUGAUAUGUGCGGGGGUGAGAGGUUGACUGGGGAUAGUUUCAGGAGAGGUAGAGGUAGGCUGAAGAAGUAUUAGCGGAGGUGAUUAGAGAAGAUAUGACACAGUUAAAGCUUACCGAGGAUCCGACCUUAGGUAGGAGGUUGUGGAGGAACACAACUUAGGGUAGAAGGCUAGAUAGAAGUAGAGCAUUGUCUCGCUUGUCCUCACAUAUGGUAGUCGUCGUAUUUCUCCGGUAGUUUCUUGUCCUUCAAUUUCUGUUACCAGCUACUGUCUCUUGUACUAUAAUUACCACAGUAUUUUAUUGUAGUAGCUAUUCCUUUUUCAAAAUGCUUUGCCAUGAUUUCUUCACUUUUCAUUAAUUUUUUCGAUUUGCUUUCAUAUGCUUUUUCUUGAGCCGAGGGUCUAUUGGAAACUCUCUACCUCCCAAAGUAGGGGUAAGGUCUGCAUGCACUCUAUCUUCCCUAGACCCCACUUGUGGGAUUACACUGGUUAUAUUGUUGUUUUGUUCUUGUGCUUGAAUGACACAUAAAUUCAUUUUCAUAUAGCCAGAUUGCAAGGAAAAUUGGGGAUCCAAAUAUCCCUCGUCCAUGGAGCAGGCACACUUUGAAGAAACAAGAGAAAUUGACAAAUGAGGAUGAGAAUGCAAAAGUAAACAAAAGUUCCAAGUCUGCAGGUUUAAAAGGGGACAAAAAGAAUAGUAAACAGGAGAGUAAGGAUGAGGAUCCUCAGCUUCAAGAGUUCCUUGAAGUUAUGCAGCCUCGGAGUAAGUCAAAGUUGUGGGCAAAUGAUACACUAGCAGCUCCAUCUCUUGCUCAAAGUAAAAAGGAUGGCCAUAAGCAAUCCCAGGCAAAAGAGACUAACCGGGAAAAAUUGGCUACUGAUAACUCUGAGUUAGAUGAGGUUAUUAAAAAAGAGGAAUCUCUGUCAGUUAAUGAAAAUUCUGAGAAACCUGACAGCUUCCAUAAUGAUGAAGUUAUGACCGAUACAGAUUAUUUCAAAAGUAGAGUGAGGAAAGAUUGGUCAGACUCAAAAAGUAGUGAAGACGAUGGUAGUGAUAAUGAAAGUGACACUGAAAGUGGCAAGAGCAAUGAAGAUGCAAAUACUGGUAAUAUCCUCAAACCUGAUGAUACAGAGGAAGUUUUGACUGAUGGGUUCACCAGAUCUAACAAUAAAUCGCUUGAGCCUGCUGACCCUUCAUCAAGUGUUAUGGAUGAAAAAGAAGAAGAUCUGGAGAGUGGACGAUUAUUUGUUCGUAAUCUUCCUUACACCACGACGUAAUACAUCUUUGUUCUUCUUUUUUCCUUUAUCCUUUUUUUUUCUGGGUGAUUUAGUUAACUCGAUAUGUUGACUUCAACAAACCUAAUGUAUGUUCUUGCCAAACAAAUGGUUUUAUGACUCAGGGAAGAGGAGCUGGAAGAACAUUUUAGAGCAUUUGGCAAUGUCUCACAGGUUCAUAUUGUUGUUGACAAAGAUACAAAGCGGUCCAAAGGAUUUGCAUAUGUUCUCUAUGCAUUACCAGAAUCUGCUGCUAGGUACCUGUCAAUCAGCAUCCAAAUUCUAAGCUACUGCACUUUUUACCUGCAAGAAGCACACUGAUAUCCGUGUUAUAAAUUCUGAGUCCCUUGUAUACGUAUGUAUGUGUCUAUUUUUCAUGUUCCAGUGCUUCCUUGCAUUGCUUUUUGAUUGUUUCUUCCAGGGCAUUAGCGGAGCUGGACAGUUCAAUUUUUCAAGGACGAUUACUUCAUGUCAUGCCAGCUAAGCAGAAAAUUUCUCCAGAGAAGAUAGAGUAAGUGUUGUUUUACCACGCUUUUCAAUGUUCAUAUCCAUUAGAUUGUUUGCUUAUGCAUAUAUGUCGAGAGAAGCUCUCCUUUUUCUUUUUAAUAAUGUGGGAUCUACCUUGCUAUUAUAAGAUUGGUUCAUUUAUUACUCUGUAGGACAGUUGAUAAUACCAAGCAAUUUUCAAAAACAUUUAAGCAGCAGAGACUACAGGAAAAGAAGGCAUCUGAAGCUAGUGGAAAUACACAAUCUUGGAAUACUCUUUUCAUGCGGCCAGACACCGUAUGUACACUAUCGAAUGUUAUAAUUUAGAAUAUUUUUUCUUACUAUUAUGAGGGUUGGUUCUGUCAUUUUAGAAUUUUAAUCUAUGUUUUGCUAAGACACACAUUCUUAUCCACAUUCUGCGCCACAUAAAAUAAUACAGAAAUUUAUGCAUAAACUCUACAUGGAUUAUUUAUGAGGAAAACGAUAACUAACAUCUGAACAUUGUACAAUUUAAUAUGGAUUUUUAUGUGAAGCUUAAAUUUCCUCAAUCCCAACCAAACAUGGUACAAAUUAACUUUGGGAUUUUUUCUUCCGGGGGGUGGGGGUGGGGGUGGCUUUGUACAUCAACUUUUACAGCCCCUUGAUGCUUGCUGUAAUAGACUGGGUUUAUCUUUUUUUACAUUUGAUCUGAUUUGAGUUAUUUUUGUUCCUAUAUUAUGCUUCUUGUAAGAUGAUUUGGUUGUUCAAAUCUUUGUAGCUAUCCUAACUUGUAUAAUCAGUUUUUGAAAUGCUUCAGGAUCUUUAAUUACUGCCCGUUUGGGUUGAGUAUGCAUUCUACUGUGUCAGCGUUUGGACUUGUUCUUGAAAGUAAAAAUGAGCUCCUUCUGUUCUUUGAAAUUUUUUAGGUUGUCGAGAAUAUUGCAAGAAAAUUUGGUGUUAGUAAAAGUGUUCUUCUUGAUAGAGAAGCUGAUGAUCUUGCCGUACGUAUAGCAUUGGGUGAGACUCAAGUGAUAGCAGAGACGAAAAAGGCUCUUGCAAAAGCUGGGGUUAAUAUUGCUUCACUGGAAGACUACGCUGCUGGAAAAACUGAUGGAGUGAAACGAAGCAAUCACGUUAUUCUAGUUAAGAACUUGCCCUAUGGUUCGUCAGAAGGUGAACUUGCGAAUAUGUUUGGGAAGUUCGGGAGUCUGGAUAAGAUUAUUCUUCCUCCCACCCAAACCUUAGCUUUGGUUUGUGCUUUUAUCUUUGAAGCCUUUGGUUUGAAAUGACUAUUCUUGUAACUAUAAUUGUUCUUUAUGUGCUUUGUGACUUUUCCGUACAAUAGGGUGUUCUGAUUUGAUACUAAUAGACCAAGUUUCUGUUUGUGUAAAUAGACAUGAAUUAGUUGGAAAUAACAAGAUUGUUUGCUGCUUCUGUGAUUAUUACAAUCAGGUUGUCUUCCUAGAACCGGCAGAAGCACGCACAGCUUUUCGGGGCCUAGCAUACAAACGUUACAAGUAAGUGUAUAUAUCCGUUUCUUGCUUUUGAUACAGCGGUGAUUUUUGUAGUUGAACAAGUAGCUGUAUAUGUAAAGACAAUUUCAUGUCAUGACUGAUAACUAAGCAAGAUUGGAAUAGCUUUAGAAUUGGGAUAACACAUAAAUACUCUCCUCAACUUAUUGUGAAUAUUCAUCUAUACUUUUUAACUUUGCUAGUGCCCUAUUACACCCAACCCCCAAGGGGCCUUUUUGAAGUUGAGUAACUACCAGAUUUGUGUUGGGUGUUGAAAUAACACCACUUACUCCAUAUACUUUGAAGUUGAGUAACUUUGCUAGUGCACUCACCACUUAAUUUUUGUUCACCUUUUUUUUCCAUAUACUUUGGUUAUUUCUUCCUCCACCUUUGUUCAAAUGCAUUAAGCGGACUCUCCCCCAAUCUAAACUUUGCGCCUUCCUCUCACUCCUACUCCAAUAAUUCCUUGUCAAUGAUUAGUGAUGUCGCCCUGUAUUCUCGAAACAAGGUGCAUUUUAUGUUACCUCGGAUCCUGUUAGUGAGAGAAGACUCAAAAUUAGAGGGAAGCCAUGGAAAGAGAAGGGAAUUCCAUUUUUUUUUACUUUGCUUUAGAGAAUUGAGAAACCUUCCAAUUUUUUAUUUUGCAAGAUUGAGGUUUCUCCUAGCUUGCUUUGUUCUUUCUAGCACAUAUCAGUUUUGCUGCAUCUCAUAUGCAAUAUAUUUUGAUUCAGUCUUGAAAGUUUGGAAUUAUGAAGUAAAUUUUGUCCCUUUGUCCUGAUGCAGAGACACUCCCCUUUAUUUGGAGUGGGCUCCUGGGAAUAUUCUUGAUCAAACGAGUGAUUCCAAAAAUGAUUUUAUUGUUGGUGAAGAUGAUGUAAAGAGAGUGCUCCUGGAGCAACAAGUGGAAGGAAUAGCAGAUCCAGAUGUUGAUCCUGAUAGAGUGGAGGUAUAUAAACUGUAAAACCCAUGUUUCCCAUCUUUAUAUAGAAUGUACUUUGGUGCUAAGUCCCUACUGUUGUAUGAGUCUACUUGCGAGCUGUUUAUAUCUACCUGUAUUGUAUAGACUAAUACCUAGCUAAGUUUGUCCUCGUCAAUCUUUGCUUGUGGAUUAUUUUUCUGUUCAUCUCCAUUUGCCAGCAACCGCAAAUGAAGCUUUGUUGAGGUUGGCACUUCCAUUUGAUCAAUAGUCUAUUAUUAUAUGCACUUCUGUCGCCCUGACAUGUGUCCCACCAUAUGACACAAAGUUUCACUUUAUGAAUGCCAUUUUAGGAGUCUGUCAUGUUGGUACAUUUACUUUAGGUUCAAUGUUUGUUAGGUACAUUUACUUUAGGUUCAAUGUUUGUUAGGAGUCUUUUAGUUUCGAUACAGAUGCUAGUAGAAAAUGUAAAGAAUCUCUAGUGCUAGAGAAACCAGAUCAAAAUCGUAGAGAGACGAGCUUGAGUGGAGUGGCAUCUAGCAUGUGUUGAGGACUCAUACAACUGACCCAACUAGCAUGAGGUUGAGGCGUACUUUUUGUUUUUGUCGAACACAAAAAUGUGGAAGAUAUUACAAAUUUAAGUGGUUUUGUUUUUGUUGAACACAAAAUGUGGAAGAUAUUACACAAAAUGAGGAGUGGCAUCUAGCAUGUGUUGAGGACUCAUACAACUGACCCAACUAGCAUGAGAUUGAGGCGUACUUUUUGUUUUUGUCGAACACAAAAAUGUGGAAGAUAUUACAAAUUUAAGUGGUUUUGCUUUUAUUGAACACAGAAUGUGGAAGAUAUUACAAAUUCUUAAACGAACUCUUACAUUUGAUUGAUACUGGUAACGUACUGGUAUAUAUAAAGUCACAUUUUCAGAGAAAUGAAGAAACCCGGCUAUGCAAAAAUCAAAUUUACAGACAGCCUAUCAAAUCGAUUAGAGAAUCUGUUUCCUCUAGUAGUAUGUAAGACUUUUUUGAGAAUUUCUACUAGUAUGUAAGACUCAAACUUAAGUCUACAUAUUUAUUCAAGUUUUUAGUUUGCUGGAAAUUAACUGUGGCCUGCAUAUGAUAGGUCCCCAGAAAAUCAGAAAUAAAUAAUUCUCAAAUAUGAACUGUACUCUUGUUGUUGUUGUUGUUGUUGUUGAACUGUACUCUUGGUAGCAGCAGACUAUUGAAUACACAUGGUCACAUGACAUGCUGGUUCAGCUGCUCCACUAUUGCCAAAAAAUCAUGCUACCUGUACCAAAAACCAAAAGAAUUCAGUUAUUGGAAAUAAGUAUAUAGUGAAGAACAUUGCAGUUAUAGAAAUUCCUUGUUACUUCUUUGUUUGUUCUUAUAACUGCCUUGAUUUCUCAGGUUUGUUUCUUGUUUCAUUAACCAAUUGAUAUUCUUGUUGUCACCUUUCCAGUCACGAUCACUGUAUGUCAAGAACCUAAAUUUCAAGACAUCAGAUGAGAGUUUAAAGAAACAUUUCACUGAUCACAUAAAGGAUGGGCGAAUAUUAAGUGUGAGGGUAAGUUCUUGUGGCUCUUUUUUAUGCUGAGACGCCAAGUAUUUAGCAUAGUAUUUCCUUUGUGCUACAUGAAAAAAUAACUAGUCUUCCUCCAACACCUGUUAAUAUUAUUCUGUGAAGGUGAAAAAGCAUGUAAAGAAUGGAAAAACUGUCUCGAUGGGUUUUGGAUUCAUUGAGUUUGAUUCUGCUGAUACAGCAAUCAAUGUUUGUAAGGAUUUGCAGGUAAUCAGUCUGAUUUUUGUUUUAACAUUUUGUCCAUACAUUCGGGCUCCUACAAAUAGCGUUUCAUCUUCCCCUCUUCUUGUCAUUCAGGGAACUGUUUUGGAUGGGCAUGCACUUAUAAUGCAACUUUGCCACACUAAGAAGGAUGAUCAACUACCAAAGAAAGCUGAGAAUGAUAAGAGUUCGACUAAGUUGCUUGUUAGGAAUGUUGCUUUUGAGGCAACUGAAAAGGAUCUCAGGCAACUAUUCAGUCCAUUUGGGCAGGUACUUCCUCUGAAGUGUUGUUAAUGUAGGGUGAUACUAAGUAGUAGAAAAUAAUACUAGGUUUUCCUGUGUUGGGAAGUGGCAAAGCUAGAAGUUAAUUGAGGAUAAGUAUGUCUGUGGGCACGAGGAUGCAUUAUAUCCUGUGCAUUUCCAUUGAGUCCAUAUGAGAGACAUUUAUCCAUAUGUAAGUGGGCAUGUAGAAUUCUCUCCGAUUUGUAAUGCUUUUGUUCAAAAUUCCAGGUCUAGUGGAAUGUGUCAUGAAAUUUAUUAGUGUGAAAAAUGUUGAUAUAGACAAAAUGAUGCGUGGUAAUUGGCAGAUGAUCUAGCCACUAGAAGCUAGGGCUAGAAAAAAAAAAAAACAUUAUGAUGGUUACUUGAAAGUCUGACAUAUAUGUUAUUUUUGACCUGCAUUCAUCAUGUUUCACAUAGCGACUUAUUUCAAUGUCCUUUCCGUUGACCUCAAAAUUAAAUUCAUCCUACAGAUUAAGAGUUUAAGGCUGCCAAUGAGGUUUGGGAACCAUAGAGGAUUUGCAUUUGUAGAGUUCGUCACUAAACAAGAGGCAAAGAAUGCCAUGGAAGCUCUAUCCAAUUCUCACUUGUAUGGGCGCCAUUUGGUAUGUGAUCUUGCAAUUCUCAUAGUAUAUAUCUACUACCUAAAUAUCACCAAGUAAUAUGUUGUGGUGCAUGUUACAUCUCAGGUUCUUGAGAGAGCCAAGGAAGGUGAGAGCUUAGAGGAAUUACGCGCUCGCACAGCUGCUCAGUUUAGUACUGAGCAAAAUGGGUUUCAAACUACUAAAUUAUCAAAGAAGAGAAAACAAAUGGCUAUAUUGGAUGAAGGGAGUUUUAAAUUCGAGCGAAUUGCUGAUUAAAUACUUCACAACUCCCUUCAAAUCCCCAAUUCACUUGUCCUGUAUAGGUUAAAGCUACUAAUUCUGCAGUAUUUAUAGCCCAAUAGUACUAAGAUGAGAGCUUGUUUAAUCAAUUUUGUUCAUUAAUGUAAUGUCUUGACAUCCUCUUCGGUUUGUAUUGUAGAUCAUGAAAAGUUUGCUGUCAGUUUGUGACAAAAAAAUAUCAAAGUAGUAGGUAAACAAAGUUUGAUCCUUUGGGAUGUUUCUUAUGGAUUACUUUAAUAAUGAAGAUAGCAUUCUUGUCACAGGGGGGUAAUGUAGAAAUGCUAUUUCUUAUCCACCAUAACCAAAAGAAAAAACUUAAAUCAUCUCGAGUUUAGAAGGUGAAUUUCUUGGUUAGAAAAAGAAGGGCAACAAAGGGUCGAUUUAAAAGGAAAAAAAAAAAACAGAGUGGCCAGUGUGAAAACAUGGACAAUUUUUUAAUUUGAGUCAAAAAAAUUUCCUGCAUUAUUAGAAUGACAAAGAAAAUAAGAAAAAAAAGUGGAAGGAAAUGAAGGAGGACGGCAAACAGGCGUUGACGUCCUAGUUUUAAAUACUUACAUAAAUUUUAAGUGAUAUAUCUCAAAGAAUGUGAUGUAUUCUUGUUGAAUUUUUUAGAAUUUUAAAAGACGUUGGAAUAGGAAGUAAUUAACAUCAAAAGAAUUGAGAUUUGCGUAACUUUUACAUUAUUUAUUCUGCUCUAGAAAAGUGCAAGGAAAUGAAGGAAAAUUUAGCGUCUUUAGAAAAUUCUCCAUCUUUAGCAAAAUAAGAACAAAAAUUUGCGUACAUUUUAUCUUUUCUAAAUUUCAUCUAUACGUGUUGACAGUUUGAUAACAUUUUCUUUUCUUGUUAAAAUAGUUCCUUCUUUUGGUCGUGACAUGCGCAAUUGGAAAAGAAAAAAGAAUCAAGUAAAUUGGUAAUAACGACAUUGCAGAAAUUUACCUCAAAAAAAAAAAAAAUUAUUGUCCCCUUUAAACUAUAUAUCAUCGAUCACUAUCAUUAUUCAUCAUUAUAUAAUCACCAAUCAGCACUAUAUAUUAUAAACUAUCGUCAUCAUUCACCAUCACUAUAAGCUAUUACUAUCAUCCACCACAACUAUCAGUCAUUGUGACAAGGAGUAACCAUCAAUCACUACUCUCACAACUAUCAUCACCAAUAGCUACACCCUUAACACCACUAUUUGCCAAUAUAUCUUCAAUCGACACCCACAAUCACUAUCGCUAGCCAUCACUAUCAUCAACAGUCAUAUAAUGUUUAUAGUAAAUUAAUUUAAUUUUUUUUAUUAAAUUUUACUUUAUAAUAGAAGCGGCAAUCUUGACCAUUUUAGAGUCGUCCUGGCUGCUUCAGCUGCUUCAAGCGUAAUUUUACUAUAUCACCCCUAAUUAAUUAUUAUAAAUUAUUUCAUUUAAGUAUUAUAAUAUUAAUAAUAUUUAAUAAAAGAAUAGUUUUCAAAAUGACUACUAAAUUCCUCAAAGUUCCAUUUAUUAUUAUUCGAGAAUUUUUUUUAGCUGUUUCAAUCGUAAUUUUAAUGUAUCACCUCUAAUUAAUUAUUAUAAGCCAUUUACGUAUUAAAAAUUAAUAAUAUUUAAUAUAAAAAUAAAACAAACAUUUUUUACAUGUCUGCUUCAGUUGGUUCGACAUAAUUUUACUAUAUCACCUCUAAUUACUCAUUAUGAGUCAUCUAAGUAUUAAAAAAUAAUGUUAAAAAAUUAUUAUAAAAUCAUCUAAGUUUUAAAAAACUAAUAAUAUAAAAAAAUAUUAAUCUGCCAAAUAUUUUUCAAAAAUAGGUAAGAAAUACUAUACAUCACAAUAAUUAGCAACUAGAAAGUUUAGAGUCAAUUUACUUUCUUUGGCACAUCUUCAUUGGUCCUUUCCUUUGCCUUCAUUUUUUCAUCUAUUUUAAUUUGUUAUAUAUUUUUUAAAAAAAAACUUGUAAAUCACAAUAAUUAAUAAAUUAAAAAUUAAAAACAUAUAAAUAUUUGACUGACUUUCAAAAUUAUAUCAUUGCUACUUAAAUUGGAAUAGAAGAAAAAAUACUAUAGAUCACAGUAAUUAAAAACUUAAAUUAUUUAUAAAAUAUAAUUGACUAUCAAUAGUACAAAAUUUUAAACAAGGAGUGUAACAUAUAUUAUUUAAAAUUUACAUAAAACUUAUUAUAAAUUACAAUAUUUAACAAAUUAAAAUAUCUAAAAAAAAUUAUUAUAUAUUUUAAAAAAUACAUAAAAGUGCUAUAGAUCAUAAUAAUUAACAAAUUUAAGACAUAUAAAAUAUUUGAUUGACUUUUGUUCAAUUAUAAAAAAAUAAGCACUUUGAUGAAGAUUUAUAGUAUCAUUCAAGUAAAUACAGAUUAAGAUCGUAGAAACAUGAGCUAGUGAUAUAGCUACACCUAAUUCCAGACCGGUUAAUGCAAGAACUAUAAAUAAAGGACCAAGAUCCCCUAUGAAAUAUAAUUGAAUAUCAACGCCACAAAAGUUAGGACAAGGAGAGUAACAUGUAUUUUUUGAAAAUCAUAUAAAAAACAUUACAAAUUACAAUUGUUGACAAUUUAAAGUAUUUUUUUAAUUUUUUUUUAUAUAUUUUUAAAAAAUACUCAAAAAGAUACUACAAAUCAUAAUAAUUAAUAAUUUUAAAAAUUGUAAGGAUAUAAAUAUUUGGUUGACUAUAGAAAUUAUAUCAGUGCUACUUAAUUUGAAAUUAAAAAAGAUUAUAAAUCUCAAUAAUUUUAAAAGUUAAAUUAUUUUUAAAGUAUAAUUGGCUAUCGAUGCUACAAAAGUUUGAAUAAGGAGAGUAACAUGUAUUAUUUAAAAAUUACAUAAAAAAAUAUUAUAAAUUACGAUAAUUAACAAUUUAGAAUAUUCAAAGCAUACUAAAGAUAUGAUUGAUUAUCUAUAUUUUAUUUAUGUCACAUAAAUUGAGACUAAAAAAUAAUAUAUAUUGGGCCCGUGCCAACCUAUUUAAAUAAAUUUAUAUAUUCAAAUAUUGAAAAAUAAAUAACUUUAAUUAUUUAAUAUUCAUAUCUUAAUUACUUAGUAUUCUGGUAAAAUAUGUGUUACCACCAAACAAAUCUCAUCAUUUUGUGACUUAAUCUAUAAUAUAUUAAAAGUGUGAAGCCCGUUAAAAAGUGAUUUGAAUUUUUUAUCCUUCAUUAAAACACUAUACAAUAGACAAAAUCAUCUUUUCACUAUUUUCCUUAAUUUAUUAUUUAAUUAAAUUUUUAUUUUUUAAAGUCAAGAAAUCCUAAAUUAUACGGUAAAAGAAAAAUAUAUAGAGAAUUAAUAUUGGUAAAUUUUUUAUUUCCUUCUAUAUGUAAAAAAAGAGUCUUGAAAUAUUUGGUAGAAAAAAGAUCCUAAAAUAUAUAAUAAAGAGAAUAAGAAAAGAUUUAAUAGUAGAAAACUUUAAGUAAAAAAGAAAAAUAAAAUCUCACCUAAAGUUUUAGAAAAACCAUUAUACGUUUUCUUUUAAUGUUAUGAUUUUAAUUCCUUUAAGUAAAAAGGAAAAAUAAAAUGUCAACUAAAGUUUUAAAAAAACUAUUGUACGUUUUCUUUUAACGUUAUUAUUUUAAUUUCAAACUAUAUAUAUAUAUAUAUAUAUUUCUUUUCUAUAUAAUAGAAACACUAAUUUUGACCAAUGCUUCAUCAAUUGCUAUACUACCCCAAAUUAUUUCAGAAUUUACUAUAUUACUCCUAAUUAAUUAUUAUAAUUCAUUUAAAUAUUAGAAUUAAUAAUAUUUUUUUAUUAUAUUAUCCCUAAUUAAUUAUUGUAAGUCAUUUAUAUAUUAUAAUUAAUGAUAUUUAAUUAAAAAAUAGACAUUUAUGACUUUUGUUUCAGCUGCUUUAACUGUGAUUUUACUUUAUCAUCCCCAAUUAAUUAUUAUAAGUCAUUUAUGUAUUAAAAAAUUAAUAAUAUUUAAUUAAAAAAUUAGAUGACAUGUCUACCUAUAUUACCUCUAAUUGCCCCGUAAUUUAUUAUAUUACCCCUAAUUAAUUAUUAUAAGAAAUUUAUAUAUUAGAAUUAAUUAAUUAUUAUAAGUCAUUGAUAUAUUAAAAUUAAUAAUAUUUAAUUAAAAAAAUAUUUAUAACGUUUGUUUCAGCUCCUUUAAUCGUGAUUUUACUAUAUCAUUCUUAAUUAAUUAUUAUAUGUCAUUUAUGUAUUUAAAAAUUAAUAAUAUUUAAUUAAAAAAUAGAAGUUUAUGAUGUUUGUUUCAACAUCUUUAACCGUAAUUUUACUGUAUCAUCCCUAAUUAAUUAUUAUAAGUCAUUGAUAUAUUAAAAUUAAUAAUAUUUAAUUAAAAAAUAGAAGUUUAUGAUGUUUGUUUCAACAUCUUUAACCGUAAUUUUACUGUAUCAUCCCUAAUUAAUUAUUAUAAGUCAUUGAUAUAUUAAAAUUAAUAAUAUUUAAUUAAAAAAUAGAAGUUUAUGAUGUUUGUUUCAACAUCUUUAACCGUAAUUUUACUGUAUCAUCCCUAAUUAAUUAUUAUAAGUCAUUGAUAUAUUAAAAUUAAUAAUAUUUAAUUAAAAAAUAGAAGUUUAUGAUGUUUGUUUCAACAUCUUUAACCGUAAUUUUACUGUAUCAUCCCUAAUUAAUUAUUAUAAGUCAUUGAUAUAUUAAAAUUAAUAAUAUUUAAUUAAAAAAUAGAAGUUUAUGAUGUUUGUUUCAACAUCUUUAACCGUAAUUUUACUGUAUCAUCCCUAAUUAAUUAUUAUAAGUCAUUGAUAUAUUAAAAUUAAUAAUAUUUAAUUAAAAAAUAGAAGUUUAUGAUGUUUGUUUCAACAUCUUUAACCGUAAUUUUACUGUAUCAUCCCUAAUUAAUUAUUAUAAGUCAUUGAUAUAUUAAAAUUAAUAAUAUUUAAUUAAAAAAUAGAAGUUUAUGAUGUUUGUUUCAACAUCUUUAACCGUAAUUUUACUGUAUCAUCCCUAAUUAAUUAUUAUAAGUCAUUGAUAUAUUAAAAUUAAUAAUAUUUAAUUAAAAAAUAGAAGUUUAUGAUGUUUGUUUCAACAUCUUUAACCGUAAUUUUACUGUAUCAUCCCUAAUUAAUUAUUAUAAGUCAUUGAUAUAUUAAAAUUAAUAAUAUUUAAUUAAAAAAUAGAAGUUUAUGAUGUUUGUUUCAACAUCUUUAACCGUAAUUUUACUGUAUCAUCCCUAAUUAAUUAUUAUAAGUCAUUGAUAUAUUAAAAUUAAUAAUAUUUAAUUAAAAAAUAGAAGUUUAUGAUGUUUGUUUCAACAUCUUUAACCGUAAUUUUACUGUAUCAUCCCUAAUUAAUUAUUAUAAGUCAUUUAUAUAUUAGAAUUAAUAAUAUUUAAUUAAAAAAUAGAAGUUUAUGAUGUUUGUUUCAACAUCUUUAACCGUAAUUUUACUGUAUCAUCCCUAAUUAAUUAUUAUAAGUUAUUUAUAUAUUAAAAAUUAAUAAUAUUUAAUUAAAAAAAUCAGCUGCUUUGUCAUUUACUAUAUUAACCUAAUUGCUCGGUGAUUUAUUAUAUUACCCCUAAUUAAUUACUAUAAGUCAUUUAUUUAUUAGAAAUUAAUAAUGUUUUUUUUAUUAUAUUACCCCUAAUUAAUUAUUAUAAGUCAUUUAUAUAUUAUAUUUAAUAAUAUUUAAUUAAAAAAUAUAUAUUUAUGACAUUUAUUUCAGCUGCUUUAACCAUGAUUUCACUAUAUCAUCCCUAAUUAAUUAUUCUAAGUUAUUUAUGUAUUAAAAAAUUAAUAAUAUUUAAUUAAAAAAUAGAUGAAAUGUCUGCCUAUAUUAUCCCUAAUUGCUCCGUGAUUUACUAUAUUACCCUAAAUUAAUUAUUAUAAGUCAUUUAAAGUUAUUUAUGUAUUAAAAAAUUAAUAAUAUUUAAUUAAAAAAAUAUAUGACAUGUCUGCCUAUAUUAUCCCUAAUUGCUACGUGAUUUACUAUAUUACCCUAAAAUAAUUAUUAUAAGUCAUUUAUAUAUUAGAAUUAAUAAUAUUUAAUUAAAAAUUGAUAUUUAUGACGUUUGUUUCAGCUGCUUUAACCGUGAUUUUACUAUAUCAUCCCUAACUAAUCAUUAUAAGUCAUUUAUGUAUUAAAAAAUUAAUAAUAUUUAAUUAAAAAAAUAGAUGACAUGUCUGCUGCAGCUGCUUCAACCAUAAUUUUGCUAAAUAUCGCUUAUAAUUAAUUAUUAUGAGUCAUCUAAGUGUAAAAAAUUUAAUCAUAUUUUUUUAAAAAAAAUAGACACAAAAUGAUAAAUUAACUCUUGAUGUAUUAAAUUAAGUUGACCUCCUUCAACCGUGAUUUUACUGUAUCACCCAUAAUUAAUUAUUAUUAGUCAUUUAUGUAUUAAAAUAUUCAUAUUAUUUAAUUAAAACAUUGGUUUCGACAUGGCUGCUUCAAGAGCUGCGCCGUAAUUUUACUAUAUCACCCCUAAUUAAUUAUUAUAAGUCAUUUAUGUAUUAGAAAAUUAAUAGUAUUUAAUUAAAACAAGAAAAAUAUGUGUUUAUGACAUGUUUGUUGCAGCUGUUUCAACCAUAAUUAUCUUUGAGAAGAUGAUCCAAGACUUUGUGUUAAUUGAAGUAUCUUUUGUUCCAGUUUUUAUAUGAAAUAAUCUUAUGAAUAUUAGUUCUACAUCUUUUCUAUAUUUUGUAGCAGGUCUCAAUUUUAUCAUCAAACAAUUAAAAUAACCCGACUACACGACACAUUACACCUUUUUAUCAUGUGGAAAAAAACUAUCUUAUAAAACUUCACUCCUUAGCGAGUACCAUCAAAUAGUUAUUAUUUAAAAAAUUAUCGUUUUAAAUCAAUGUACAUUUAUGUUUGUAUCUCAUCAAUAUUGAAUAUUGGUGCUAAAAGAUGUCUAUAGUGUUGGAUCCGUGCUGACACGGGCCAUGCACCUCUUGUAUAUAUAUAUAUAUAUUAUAUUAUAAUCUAUUUAAAGUGUGAAGGGCGUUAGAAAUGUCGCUUGAACUUUUUACCCUUCAUUAAAAGUCUUUUCUUUAGAUAAAAAUCAUAUUUUGACUAUUUUUUUUAAUUAUUUAAUAGUUAAAAAUCAAUUAAAUAUAUUUAUGAUAAACCUUUAAAACUUUUUAAGAAGAUUUAAAAAGUCUAUAAAUUUACAUCUACAAUAUAUUAAAUCCAUUAACCAUUUGAAAUUUGUGAUGAUAAAAUAUACAUGUGCUUAUAAUAAAAUAUAUAUUUUAAACUUUUUACAAUUCAUUAAAAAAAUUAUCUAAUUUUAAAUAAUCAAAAGUUAAUUGCACGUGCAGCUAAACUAGUAAUUAUACAAAUUUCCAUUGACAAAGUGAGGAGUAUAUUCUUUCAAAUCCUCUAACCAAUUUACAGCGGAGUUGGUAGUCCAAAAUAUUUCAAGAAAACUUGUUUCUCUUGUCUUGUUUCCUUUUAAACCCUUUUGUCCACUCUUUACAUUUCUACUACUCAAUUCAUUUGUUCACCAUAUAUUACCUGCCUUGUCUCCAUCUUUUCUCAACUGGGUAUGCCUUCAAAUUUCACCUAAUUCUGUGCUUUCUUUAGGGUUUCUCAUUGUUUUCAUUAAAUUCAAUCAUUCUUUUCUUUGUGGAUUUACUUUUUUAAGUGUGUUCUUUAUAUGAGAUCCCAAUUCACUUUGUGGGGUUUUUAGUAUUUGAUAAUUUUACUUUACUGUAAGUGAUAUUAUUAUACUUUGUUGCUUUGUUAGAAUUACUAGCAUCAUCUGUUUUCUUUGUGGGUUUUCUUUAAUUCUGCUUAUUGUGUACUCAUUUGGAUCUUCCUUGUUACUGUUUUUUUUGGUGGAACUUAGUGUUUGGAAUUUAGAUUUGUUGUGCCCUUAAAUAAGUGGUGUUUUUAGUUUGAACACACCCUUAACCAAACUACUCAUUCCUAGAAAACAAAGAUUGUUUUUACUAACUUAUCCUUGAUAAAUACUUUGGAAAAGAUAGUACUCUUUAGUAGUUUCUUGCUUAUUUAAAACUCUUUUUAUUUAAAAGAAGUUAAAAAUGAAGGAACAACAUGAAUGUCUUCUUGAUUAUCUAAAGUACUACUUAUUUGGGAAUAAAAUCAAAAGGCUGAAAACCACUUAAUUUAGGAAUGGAGGGAGUAGGCGGACAUUGAUUAUAAAAGUUGGCGUGAAUUUCCAGGUUCAGUUUGUGAUUCUGUUAGUUUUUAGUGCUUUCUUGAUUUACUUUUGCGUUUGUUCUGAAUCUUGAUAGAGGCAAUGUCGCAAGGCUAUGCUAUUGAGCUCUACUUUGAUCCUGCACUGGAAAACCAGGUCCUGAAGGCCUGGAAUGUAUUGGCUCGGCGCCAGAUUAGCACUCAGCUUAUUGAGAUUGAGUCUAGACCUCACAUUACCCUCUUCUCGAGUCCCAAUUUUGAUCCAUCAAAGCUUGAGAACAUUGUAAAGAAUUUUUCGUCCAAGCAAGAAUCUUUGCCUCUGUCCUUUGGUUCAAUUGGAAGCCUCCCAAGUGAUGACAAUGUUCUAUUUCUUGCCCCAACACCAACUUUGUCUCUACUUCAGUUCCACUCACAGCUGUUUGAUGCUAUGAAAAAGGAGGGCAUUGAGAUUGCAGAUGAGCAUCGUCCUGAUACGUGGAUUCCUUAUUGCCCGGUAGCUGAAGAGGUGCCUAAAACUCGUAUGGGGGAGGCAUUCACUGUUUUGAGGGAUCUGAAAUUACCUGUUGCUGGAUAUGCAAUGGAAAUUGCACUUGUCGAGUAUCCUCCAGUUCGUGAAGCAUUUUCUUUUGUGCUUGGUAAUACAGUUGAACCUUGAGGUUUCAGACAUGUAAUUGUGUUGAUUUUAGUUUAGGCUUUUACCUUUCAUAUCCUAUAUAGUUGCUCUUGUAGAACCUGAUAUAGAUGGUUAAGAGUGUUAUUAUCGUUGCUAAAUGGUCAUCUGCUUUGAUGAAAUAUUAAGUCAUUUCUGAUUCUUUCCUAUUGUUCGUACUUGCAUUGAGAUGUUGAUCUCUUAUGUCAGUGUUGGUGAUAAUAACAUGCUUAUUUUUUUUUCUUAUCUAUGGGAAGUCUCUGGUCGACCUCUAUUAGCAUAGAAAUUUUAUUUGCUUCUGUGUUCUAUCUUAUAAAUCAUGAACAUUGUUUGGCUUACGUGUUCUACUUUGUAAGUCUUGAAUGUGGUUCCUUUCAUUCAAAUGUAAUAUGUUUUAGUUCUUGUUAAGUUUAGCAAGUUCGAAUCAUGUGAGGUAAAUUUGCUUUUGUUAAAUAAUGUUGAGUAUAAAACUUGCUUGCGUUUAAAAAUGUUCACUUAUACAUUACUGCAGUACACCUUCUAAUUUGCAAGUCUCAAAGAUCAUGUGCUUUCUUUAGAUUGUAAUAUAUCCUGGUGCUUGUUGAAUUUAAUAUGAUUGAAUCAUGUGAGGGGAGUACAGAAGCUACCAGUUUUGUAUGGUUGGUAAAUCAAAUAGUAUUUGGAGAAAACAUGAGGCAGAGUUGAUUGAUGUACUAGCUGAAUAAACUGGAUAAAAGACAAGAACAGUCCAUUAUGUUUGACGUUGGUUUUGACUAACCCUUUUUUUUUUUUUUUUUUUUUUUUUUUUUUUUUUUUUUUUUUUUUUUUUUUUUUUUUUUUUUUUUUUUUUUUUUUUUUUUUUUUUUUUUUUUUUUUUUUUUUUUUUUUUUUUUUUUUUUUUUUUUUUUUUUUUUUUUUUUUUUUUUUUUUUUUUUUUUUUUUUUUUUUUUUUUUUUUUUUUUUUUUUUUUUUUUUUAAAAUCAUGG
rnacentral:lncRNA from 1 species